GAAGCAAACCCUCAGAAACAAGACGCAGGAGGUUGUUAUUGGAGCACUUACUGUAAGUCCACUCCCCAGAAAGCAGCUCAGAUUCCUUCCCCUUCCCAUCUUUCUCGUUGGAUCUCUUGGGCGCCAUUCUAGAUCUGUUUGCCACGAGCUGCUCGGGGGCUGGAGAGAAGGGGUGGAGAGAUUCGGCUAGCUUGGGGCUUGUCAAAGGGGGUGAAGACGGAGCACGGAUCUGAUUGGGGAUUCGGAAAUUUCUUAGCGGAUUGAAGAUUGGAAACACAGAUUUUACCCUAAGUUACCGCGGGGGUAAAUAACCAGUGGCCAGAUACAGGUUUACUGUUCCGAAGUUGAAGAGUCGUCACAGGGAAUAUUCGGAAGCCAAGGGGUCAUUUGGUGGAACUUUAGAUAAAUUAUUCAAUUAACUAUUUUUUCAGGGUUAAUUAUCCGAAAAGGGGUUUUUUGAAUUCUAAAUCUAACUUCCACCAUCUGUACCAUCACACCAAUUAUUUCCCAAGGGAAUAUUUCUGCAUGCCACGACUAUUGGAUCCUUUUUUCCAAACGUGAGAGAUUUGGAUUCAAGACUCGGGGGCUGCGGGAUACGUGGCAUCGACUACUUAUUUUUUUAAUAUAUUCGAAGAGUAAGCAAGGAAGAUUUAAGACUAAUGUGACCCUCAGCCUGAUUCUUCGAUUCAACCUAAGGCUUGGGGACUACUCCAUAUGGAGUGCGAUUUUUCAUCGCAUACCAUACCAAAGAAGUAAUUCGGGGCAUGAGCAGCUCAUAGCUUCGAUGCAGCCAAGGAAGUACUCGAAGAAGAACUUCAAGAAGGAGCUUCAAAAGAAGCCGAAGACUACUUCGGAGGUACUCGAAGAGCCUGCAGUACUCAGCUACGAAGAGCUCGGGGGCUUAUCGGAUCCGGGACUACGGGACUGCGUACAUAAUGUAGUUUAGGAAUAGGGGAUAGGGCAUGUCCUAUACCUUAUCUGUGUUGUACUCUACUCGCAUACGAAGUAGGACUAGCCGAUACAGAAGGAAGCUACUCGAGUUGUACUCGAGUACGAUUCCUCCCGGAUAUAUAAGGGCGGGUAGGGACCCCCUCAAAACACAUCAACACCCAAGGCAAUACAAACCACCAAACAGGACGUAGGGUAUUACACACAUCGCGGCUCGAACCUGUCUAAACCUUGUGUUGCUUGCACCUUCGAGUUCCUGAUCUCGGCGUCACCCUACCUAAAACUUACCACCUCGGGUAUACCCCUUGGUGGGCAGGCGGUAAAACACCGACACGCUCAGCACCUCCGUACCGCCUCCAGUAGCGUUAAUCAAGGGGAAUAGGAUAAAAAAUGUAUUCUAUGCGCACUUUAAUGAUGUACUCUAAUGAUGCACUGUAAUAAUAUAUUUCUAUAUGAUUUAAUUUUAUAUGCGUAGUAAUUUAUAUUUAUAAAACAUAUUCCAUAUCAUUUACUAUGACAUUCGAUCGCGCACUAGCUUGAUAGGUCAAAUUUGGUGGGAAAUAAAAUUUUUAAAAAUAGUGGAAAACAGAUUCGGAAAAUUUAAAUUCAAAUAAGUGAAUUUUUGGGCGGGAAACCAAUUUUUAGAGGCUGGUCACGCCCUCACCCGCCCCUGAAAAUCUAUUUUCAGGGAGCGGGUCACGCCCUUAUCUGCCCCUGCAAAUACCAUUUACUGGGGCGGGUGAGGGCGUGACCCGUCCCUGAAAUGGUUUUUUAGAGGCCUGUGGGUUAUUCGUCUCUGCAAAUAGUAUCUGUAGCUGCAAAAAGCAGGGACGGGUUUCGCGCCCGUUAAAAACGUUUUCUGUAGUAGUUUUCCGUGGUAGGGGAUGUUGUUGGUGACAAUAGUGCUUGUGCUUGUGCUCAUACCAUAUUACCAUAGAGUUCCUAUAUACUUUGAUGCGGCUUCUAAUAUUCCUAUCAGAUCCGACUAUAGAGUUCUGUCUGGGCAGGUUGACGAAGGAGAGAGGACGAGCAGACUGAUGGGAAGUCUAUGCUUCUUCGAGUGUUGGAACUUGGAAGAGGAAGAGGUACUUUUAUAUUUAGUUAUAAAAUUUUAUAUGACACGGCAAAUUAUUUUUUGCACUUAGUAUUAGUGGUGGCUUUCUUAUUUCGAAGUGUUCGGAGUUAUACUUCCGAGUUGGUGCCAUCUGCUGCAUAUCUACUUCAUAUUUCGUCUACUGUGAUUUUAGCAUUGUAGUAUCUUUUAGCCUUAGGUCCUAUUUGGAUCACCUAAAAUUAAACUUUGGUCUAGUCCGGACCAAAGUUUAAUUGACUAAAGUUAUGUGACUAAAGUUUAGUCUAUAGCUGUUUGGAUCUAUACUAAACUUUAGGUUGAAGACCAUUUGAAACACAUAAAAUAACUCUUUUGCCCUCAAUUUUGCUGCUGCCGAGCUGCCUACACUGCCCUGCUAGUUGCCUUGCUGCUGCUGCGAGGACCGCGCGGAGGAGGUUGGGGGCGUGGAGGAGGCUGGGGCGCCACUGCAGGUGAGGCUGACCUCACUGGCCAUGCGGAUCCGGCGAGGAGGAGGCCGGAGUGGACGGACGAGCUCCUCCGACGAGCGGCUCGUGCGAGCUUCAACGGCGAGCAGCCCAGUGAGGUCGGCGAGCUCUUCCUCCAGCGAGCGACCAGCGACGAUUGGAUGGGCGGCGGAGUGUGGGCGGAUCAGGAGGGGUUGGCGGCCUGCGGGCGGGCGGAGGAUGGGGGCGGCACGCGAGCUCGGGGAGGAUCAGUGCGGUGCCGAGGCGGCGGAUCGGGUGGUGGCGCUCAGGUGGGUGGGGAGACGGUGGCGCGCGGGAGGGAGGGAGGCGGCGCAUGGCCAGAUGGAGCAUCGCGCCGAUGGACGCCCGAGCGGGCCAGCGGGAGUUGCGGCACGCGUGCGGGAGGAUAGGGAGGAGAAGAUAGAGGUGGAGUAGAAAGUGAGGGGUAAUUCUGUCAUUUCGCAGUUAGCUGGCUGGUUUUAGUCCUAAUUUGGUGGGAUUUGUGGACUAAUGGAUUAAACUUUAGUUGGGAUGAAAUUAAAAUUUAGUCCAAUAUUUAGUCCACCUAUUUCGAUUAUCUAAUAAAUUAAUUUUUUUAAACGAACCGGCAGAAGAGCUGCCUGUUAUAUUAAUUAGAAGGAGGAAAAUCAUGGAAGUCCAGAGAUACAAUACUGCAUAGGAUGUUACCUAUUCACGCCGUAAGAAAAAGAGAAGAUAAAACUUUAUACUUAACACUUAAACUUUGCUCACUAAACUAGCCAGGUGCUUUGCUCAGCAAAACUUCAAAUCAAAAUUUUAUCUUUGAUCUUUGCUCACUAAACUUAUUUAAAAUUAAAGUUUAAUCCAUAGAUCCAAAUAAGAUCAUACUCCAAAUCGGAGGAAGAGGACUUGAGCCAUGUCCUAAGAAAGAGAUGCCACCAUUGAGCAUCACGAUGACGCAAUCAGGAGAAUUGACUACAAUUUUAGAGGAAAAGAAUAGGUUAUGCUUAUUAUGGGCUGUGGCUAAUGUCCUCAAGUAACGAACCAAACAAAGCUUGUGCACCGGACGGAUAAGCUCCCUCCCCAAGCGAGACGAGCGAACACCUUUUUGUCCUUUCUCAGCCUGCCAUCGAUCAAUUCGUUAACCGGUGGCUCGUUUUCGCCGUCCCUUGAGCAGGGUUCCAGCCUCAGGCCCGCCACAGCCACCGCCCCCUCCCGCUCCCAAACGCGAAGGCCGGCGCCGCUGGGCCGGCGGUAUCCGCCGCGCGCAGGGUACCAUGGCACGGGCCGCCGCCCUGCGGGGCCUGGCCGGCAUUGCGGCGGCGGGCGGACGCCGCGCGCGCGCCUGCGGCCAGCGGUGGGACGCCGGCUGGCGUGGGUUCCGCGCGGGGCCCUCCGGGGGCAGGGCGGCGGCGGCGGGGCACCGCGGCUCCUCGCCUUCCCGUUCCUCAGCGGCCUUGGCGGCGCGGCAGGCGGGGUCGCUGCGCGGCGCGGCGGCUGCAGCGGGGCGCAAGGGCUGGGUCAGCGGCGGAUUCGAGAGGUGGGCAAUGCAGGCGCAAUGAUCGCGCCAAUCGAUGGGUUAAUAUGGCGUCUAUCUUUGUUCCUAAAUUCGAAUUAAUCAGUGUUAUGUUAUCCAUGUGUGCUCGUGUCGUGUUCGUGGAUCAGUGGAUAAAUGUUUACUUGAUAGAUAAGUGUUGUGGUGCCUAAAUUGCCUAUGCUCGUGAUGUUGCAGGGAGAUAUUGUUAAUUCAAAUUGAUUAGCUUGACGGGCAUUAGGAUGCAAACAUGGGAUGAUGACGUAGAAUAUUACAUGGCAGGUCCAUGGUCUUUUCCAUCAAAUAUUCAUCUUACCAACACAUUUUUGAUAGUGGAAGCUUGAGAGCUCACUGAAAUGCUGUUGCAGUUGUGCGACUAAAUAUUUUACAGAUAUCUCUUUUUGUGAGGCUAAUGGCGUGAUAAAUGGAUAUAUAAAGUUUUAUCUAUUGGCCUUCAAUAUAUAAUUUUAGGUUGCUGGCUUUAAGUAGUUACAUUGUUCUUGCAAUACCAACUUUGUGUGCUCAACGGCUCACAUUUCUCCAAAAUCUUCUAAAGAUUCAUACAUUACUUUGAUUAACAUAAGGUCAAUAACUUUGUUGGCAGUGAGGAUGGUAAGGUGACCUGUGGAUAUUCAAGCUAUAUAGGGCGGAGACCUACUAUGGAGGACUGCUAUGCCGUUAAAUUAACUAAAGUUGAUGGACAGCCAGUUAACCUGUUUGGUGUAUUUGAUGGUACCAUUUUCACUCUUGCCUUUGAAACUUCGCAACUCCUUGCGCAUCAUAUUAGUUGAUGUCUUGGUCCACUAGGUCAUGGAGGAAACCUUGCUGCUGAAUAUCUGAAGGAUAAUCUUUUCAAUAACCUUAUGAAGCAACCUGAGUUCCUGACAGACACAAAGCUUGCAAUAAGUAAUGUGUUUACCUUCUGUUUAGUGGCGCCUUUUCAUCUGCUAUCCAUUCUAAUGCUGCAACUCUUAUAUUCGUUUUGUUUUUGGCUACUUUUGCAAAACACAGGCAAAGCAUUCCUUGAAACUGAUGGGGAUAUCUUAGAAACAAUAUCUAGUUCAUUUAGAGAUGAUGGUUCAACAGCUUUGGCUGCGGUUCUGAUCGGCAAGUGUCUAUAUGUAGCAAAUGUUGGUGAUUCACGUGCUGUUGCUUCAAAAGCUGGCAAAGGUAAAGUGGCGGCAAGAAAGAAAAGACCAAAACGUACAGCAUCCACUUCUUAUAUUUCAAAAUUAAUAUCCAUUUUGUCGUUAUUCUCCCUCUGUUUUUUGAAUUGGAUGUUUUAAACUAAUUAGCUUGUCCCAAAUGUCAUAUUUUUUAAAAACGGAGGGAAUAUUUGUUUUUACCAGUUUUUGUAUAUUAUACCUGAGCAUGGUCAAUUGAACUGGUACUCUGCUGAGCUUCAGUCACCAAGGGGAGUUGCUCUUAUUUCUAUUCACAUGAUUAAUGAAUAUAACUGUGCUGGAAUAAAAUUUUAUCAACGCAACACUGCUUCAUUAUGUUGCUAUUUUGCCUUGAUAAGCUUCCAAUGACUUUAGAAUCUGUCAAUGUUAAUUAUUCGUUGGUUUAUUUGUCAUGUGUCAAGAAUAUGUUAAACUUGACAUAUUUCUGUGCUCUAUAGCUGUCCCACUGUCUAAAGAUCACAAACCAAACAGGAAAGAUGAACGAAAGCGAAUUGAGGAUGCUGGAGGUGUUGUUAUAUGGGAUGGUAAGCCUUUUUAAUCUUCAGAACGCUCUUAUUGUAUUUAAGCCUGCUUAAUUGGAUAAAAACAAAAUAUUUAGCCUGAACCUCAAGCCCUCCAGUUUUAAGCGAGUCUGAUAUAUGAUACGUUUAGGACAUUACGUUAGUUUAAUGCCGUGUCAUUUGCUUGUGUCUAUACUUGUUUUUCCUGUUUUUCAAGUACUCUAAUGGUUGAAGGUGCUUUAUAAGUAUUGAGUGGUUGCUGUAAUUCUUCAUUUGACAUUAGCACUUCUGCAGAUACAUGGAGGGUUGGUGGCAUUCUGGCAAUGUCCCGUGCAUUUGGCAAUCGUAUGUUGAAGGAAUAUGUGAUAGCCGAACCUGACAUUCAGGUAUCCAUUUGAAGUCUAAUUAAAACUUUCAGUAGUUUGGCAGUCCAUUGAUACCUAGGCAAGGGUUUGUGGUUGGUCUUAGAACUGGAUCAGCUAACAGGAUAAAUCAAGCUACUUAACAAGCUAAAAAACAUCUUACACUAGUUCAUCCUUGAUUCUUUGAUUUAUAGAUGUACCUUUGUAUCAAUGUAUCAUUAUGUUAUUUGUAACAUCAGCGAGUAUUAAUGUUGUUGCAAUAACCAUAAAAAGUGGGUAUUACUGAAAUAAGAUGAGAAGCCCAGAGUUUCUCUUGAGAAGAAGUUUGUUUAAAGGCUUCAUUUUUUCUGUUCUUUUAGUGGUUCUGUGUCGUAUGUGGGAAAGAGUAAAGGGACUCUAUUCAUGGAAGGGAACCUUUUUCCUUUACUGGUUUUCCGUGGUAAGGGAAAGGUUGGAGCAUGCUAGCAUGGUUUCUCCUGAUUAAAUUUGUCACACGGGACUACUUGGCAAGUGUUAGGUAUUUCUGGAGAGAUAGGCAUCACAGUCAUAACACAUCUAGACAUUCUAAAUACUCAGGAACUAGAAUAACCAAUGAAGACUGUCAUGGUUUCUGCCUAUCAUGCUACAAUGAGGUGUGAACCGUAAGUUUCUCUCCUUUUAGGUUUGUAUCUUGUGAAAAAGGGCAUAAAUCUUAAGCUGUCAGUAGGACUUCACUGAAGUCUGGAAGUGAUACUUUGGAGUUUAGGUUCUCAAGUAUUUGAAGCUCAUGAUUAGUCCAUUCAAAAUUUUCUUGAUGUUCUUGACUUGCAUAGGAUUAUAGUCUUCUGAAAAGUUCUUUUUAGCAAUUUGAUUUCUUGUGUCAGAUAAGUCCAAUGAAAAAGUAACCUUUGGUAACGUCUAUGAAAUGCAGGAAGAAGAGGUCAACAGUGAUUUGGAAUAUCUAAUUCUUGCUACCGAUGGUCUUUGGGAUGUUGUGCGAAAUGAGGUAUCUCCUUGAAUUUCAGAUUCUAACAACCAGCUAUGUGAACCUGCUGGUUGUGUAGUCAAGAAGAAACCUUCACAGUACCAUACCACCUAGCUACAGAGCUACUGGUAUAAUUUACUAAUUUAGAAGGGUUGCUCUGUUCUCGGUGAACUUGAUCAAUCUCUUCAUGCAAGGCCUCCCUAACAGUUAUUGACAUGCUAUCCAAUGUAUCCUGUCUCAAACGGUCACACACAAGAAGAAUGUUCACAGAUUGGAGACAGUGAACAAGGUCUUUUUCAUAUUAUUUUAAGGUUAUAUGUUCUCCAUUGCUAAUCAUUGUUUACCUCGUUUAUCAACAAGGAUGCUGUUGCUCUUCUGAAAGCGGAAGAUGGAGCUCAGGCUGCGGCUGUGAAGCUGACGGAAAUCGCCUACUCCAGGCAGAGCGCAGACAACAUCACAUGUGUCAUCGUGCAAUUUCACCAUAACAAGUAGUCGGUUUAGACAGUUUUUAGUAUCAUGUUAGUACAAUUUUGUAUGGCGUCAUCCCAAAAAAUCCAUAAACCACAGUUGCUUUUGCGUAAUAUAUGCGGCUGCUACAAGACAUGAGCAACCCUGAAAGAGAUUCGUGGAUUCAUUCUUUUGUUCUGUAGGAAAGAAAACAUCCCAAACGAUGAGCUCGAAUGAAAUUUCUUCAGUUAUUUUUUACCAGCUUCACAGAAGCAUUCUGCACUUCUUAUGUUUGCUUUGUGGUGGUUCUUGGAUGCGAAGCGGUUCUGAUUUCCGGCGCUGAGUUGCAAUAUAGUAAAACCCUUAAUUUUAAUUUUGCGAAUUUUCAGUCAAAACAUACAGAAAGUUCUCAGUUUUUGGAGGGAUUGUUUGCAUCCCGGCGUCUUAUGGAGAAUUGGCAUAACAGAAUUGGCUAGCGGAAAUGUAUGGAUGUUAUGUGGCCGAAUGUAGGAAAAUUUAUCGAAUUUGACAAACGAAAUAAUCCUUGCAAACAUUUUGGCAAUGAUUGAAAUCUGUCAUAUCCUUGGACGGCGAAGUUUUUCGGCAAUGUGAUUCCAGAUGAUGAGCACCUGAUUCAGUUGAGCAGUCAACAGAGAUCCAAGGGAGUCUGACAGACCCGAACCGUAAUCAACCAGGAUCGAACGCUCUCAAGCGUCAAAAAAAAAGCUUCCAUAAGACGGAGUAUGGUAAACUCGUUGGACGUCACAGCAAAAGAUACAACGGUGAUAGUAAUUAAACAAAUGGGAAGUCUCUAAGCUCUAGUAUCUCAGUACCGGCUUUACCAACACAAAAAAAGAAGAUACCAUACAUAUAAUAAGGGGAAAAGAGGACAGCAUGCAGCAAUCGGGUAUGCCAGCCAGGAUGAGAUCAUCGAUGAUCGCAAUUCAUAGCACGUACUCGAUCCUGUCUGUGACGAGGCAUUUGGACUUGUGCUUGAUCCUACGGAGGGUCCGCUCCCCUUGUUGAUUGUCACCACAGGGAACUACAUCCACACCAGUGAAAGCGACCACCUGAGGACCAUCUUGAGCAUCUGCACUAUUGAAGAAUAUGGCAAGGCAAAACCGACCAGAGCCAAGGUUCACCAGCGUGCGACUUUUCAGCAACCAGUCCUUGGGCAGGUCAACAUCAAGCCCAACAUGCUGCAUCGGUGGCACAUCACAAGAAUCUAUGGCAGCAGUAGAGAGGUCCAAAGCGCACAGGUCGGAGGGACUGCUUGCCGACAGGCCAAGCCACAGGUCGAGCUCAGGAACAUACUCUGCUUUGGUGUGGAAGGGCAGCACCCAAUCACCAGUCUUGCUCCACUCAAGGGUCACCGUGUCGAAAGAGUAGGUCGCAGUGGCAGAUGAUACACAGAUUCGAGUACCAUCAACGAUUGCAUAGGCAAUGUUGUUGCAGGCCUUGUACUCCAGGUCAUCAAAGAACGGUGGUGAUGGCAGUGCGCGCCAUUGCCACUCCCCCACAGGGUAGUAUGCAAGCACUUCAAAGCAGCCCGGUUUGUCCUGGCCCAUGUCCAUCAUGUAGAGGCUGUCAGUGUGCUCACCACAGGGUUUCUCGUUGAAGAAACCAUAGUCCACCUCUGGGUUGAUAUCAAAGUCAGACCUUGCAUGGGCAGGAGUACGGGUUAUAUGAGCAGCCAUGCAAUUGGGUCCCUUGGGCGAAUUCAGAGAAGGCAUGGUCAUGAAGGAGCGGAACUCAGUGUUGUAGAUGUUGGUGUGGCCUUCCACGUCUGAGUAGAGGAUCUUGUUCUUGCUCUCGCCAAAGAGAGCGAACACAUUAACCAAACUGUUGGGAUUAGAGACAGCAGACGAGAAUGGUUGGUAGUAUAUGCUUGGUCUAAGCAAACAGCCGAUGCCCCCUAGCCUAUGGAUGCCAUUCUUCUUCUUUGCUUUAGCCUCUGCCUCCAGUGCUUGUGCCGUUGAUGGGUAGAAGAGCUUGGAUACGUCCAUGUGCCUCAGCGAGUACAAGCCACGCCCCUCGUUCAACACCAAAUGCAGAGACUGACGACUCAACUUCUGGCAGCUCAUCUUCAACUUUAGUAGUUCAAGUUUCCUUAACCUGAAGGUCCAAACAAGGAAAGAGAAUCAUUGCACAACGGAACAAAACGAAUGUGCGACCUUAAUUAAUUUUCUAUUCGUUGGUACACUGAAUGAACUAAAAAAAGGGCAUAUAUAUUCAGUGAGGAGGCUAAGAAAUAGAGUAAUUAUUUUGAAUGUCUCAGUUAACUAUCACUACCAGAGGAAAGAGCACUUUCUGUUCAUUAUGCAUGAUUAGAGCGUAUCAUAAAAUAUUUAUAGAAACGAACAAUAUCAUCAGAAAAAGAACUUAUCCCUAAAUUUAUCGCAUAAUCAGCACAGAUCUGGAGAAAAAUCAUAAAAUAUUUAUAGAAAACAAUAUCAUCAGGAAAAAAACUUAUCCCUCACUUCAUCACAUAAUCAGCACAGAUAUGGAGAAAAACUAGCCUGGUACACAAUUCUAGCACAAAUCAAAUGGUCUGUCCCAUCGGAAUGGGCUUGCUCAGAGAGAGAGAGAGAGAGAGAGAGAGAGAGAGAUUUUUACGGCAGGCGGCGAAGUGGACGGGGCCCCAGAAAGCACUGCAGCGUCGAUCAGGGCGGCCCCGGAGAAGGAAGGGGAGGAGAGGAGAGAGUACCUCGAAUUCCGUUUACCGCUCAACAAGGGCCGGGCCCACCUUUUUUACAUUUUGGCUCUUUUUAAAAAAAAUUCACAUUUGGACCUCUGAGAACUAGACCCCUGGAGAACGUAUGAAAUUUGGACCCUGAUGAUCGGCGCCGUGACUCACGGUGCCGUGAGCCAGGGAGUUGAGGUCCCACCCCCCGGUUAAACAUGGCACCGACGUGGCAGAGACCUCGACGCCACAGACCAUGGCGCCGAGCUCAGCGCCACAGAUUUUAGGGCCGAGCUCGGUGCCAUGGUCUAUGGCGCUGAGCCUGCUUGCAAAAUCCCACUCCCCAUUUCUCUUGCCCGAGCCUUCUUCCAUUUGUUCUAAGUUUUCGUCUCGGUUUUUCUCUCUUCCCUACCCGCCAAUCCUCAGAAAUUGACAUAUUCAACCUCGAAAACUUUGAUUUGAUCCAGGGUUUAGGGUUUAGUUAAUUUGUGUAUUAUGCAAUAGUAGGAUGUUAAGGCGUGGUAAAUCUAGUAAACUAAGGAUGAUGAUGGGAACAUUCUUCACCCGUUUGCCGCUGCCUAGUGGUGUCCCAAUGAUGAUGUGUUUCUGCGAUGAUGCUUGCAAGAUAGCCAAAUCCGAUGAAGAGAAAACCUAUAACCAGAGGUAUUGGAUGUGUGACAACCAUGCGUUCGAUCCCACACCUCGUCAGAUCCAUAUGGUUUGAUGGUAACAAUUUUGUUAUUUUCUCAUAUGAAAUCAUGUGUGUGUUAUGUGCAAUAUUAUGAUUGUGACAAUUGCAUUUUUUGCAGACCCCUCCCCCGCUAUGUGAUUUUGAGCAAUGGAUCGACACUGAGAUCAAGGAGGAGGACAAGGAGUAUCUGCGCAGUAUGAAGCAGUGGGAUGCGGAGAGAAAGGAGUUGCUGGAGAAGAGACGCCAAGAUAAGGGAGCAGAAAAGGAGCGCAAAGAAGAGUGGAAAGGAGCCAUGCUGCCGAACGCAGGAAGGAGAACGAGCAGAAGCUAGCGCAAGUUCGUCGUGUGAAAGUAGCAAUGGAGGAGAAUCCAGAUGCAUUGAGGAAGGGGAAGUGGCCUCGUUGCACCUAGUAGUCUUGCAGUAAUCUGUGUGUUGUCAUGUAAUGGACUUGAUGUUGUUUCAUUGUGCUCUCAUGUUGCAGGUUUAUUUCAUGCCUUUAUUGUAAUGGACUUGAUAUUAUUUCAGUGUGUUCUCAUGUACUCGACUAGUCAUUAUAUCAUCUCUUAUUGUGUAUUCCAGUAGACUAGUGUGUUGUUAUUUGAUUCAUUGUGGCCAUAAUAUGUAUUUCAAUACUGCACAGCUAUUUAAACACUCCAAAGUAAUGGAAUUAAUGAUUGCCGAAGUAGUCCAGUACAUAAUUGAACACGUACAAGACUUGAACUGGCAUGUGAGGACAUCUACGAAAUAAGGGUAAAGAUGUCUGGAGUUAAUGUAAACGUAACAUGCUUUAGGUAAUUAAACCGAACAACAAACAUAUGGAUGCAACAUUUGAAUAAGAUACGCUACUCUUAAUGUUGUUCUCACAUAGCAAAUUGUGUUGACCCUUCUCGAUAGUAUCCUCCCAUUGUAGGCGGUGGUGGCGGUGACAGUUGCAAUAUGGAUCACUGCUGUCACACCCGAUUUUUAAAGACAAAACUGAAUGCAUAACUAUAUGUAUGCUAGGAUCAAGUUCCAUACAUAUAGUGACUUCAUCAGUGAAUAAUCAGCAACAGUAUGACGAAAAGAGAAUUAAAAGACUAUAAAGAUUAUCAGAGUUAUACAGCUUAUCCUGGAAACGUAGACUCCAAACUUCACAGGCAAUCGACCGGGGGGUUCUGCAGGCCUAGAACUCAGCAUCAUCUUCAAAAGACUUCACAUCACUUUCUCCUCUGAGCAGCAAUUAUAACAAGCGUGAGUACACUUAUGGUUGGUACUCAGCAAGUGUUGGGAAUUAUAUGACAUGAAGGCCAAAAUCAAGAAAAGGCUGACUGGCUUACUGCGAUAAGCAAUUUUAGUUGGUCAAGUUUUAUUAGCACCUGAUUACUAAGGUAUAAUUUCAUAUCAAAAACCCACAUUAAAAGAGAGAGAAGAGAUACAGCAUAAGUAUAACCACAACCAUAUACAUGGUCCACGAUAACCAUAACCAUAACCAUGGUCCACGAUUUAAUUCAUCUUCAAGUUCAAUUAUCAUGUGAGGGUCCAAGCCGCUCUUAACCGUGAGCACGGCUGAUAUAUCAGUUUUCACUCUGCAGAGGCUGUACACUUUACCCACAAUUCGUGUCUCCCGAUUUGCCUGAGGUAGCUAGCCUCUUAAACACUUCCGAGGUGAGUGGCAAGGGAUUCACUAUGAGGCCUUUACAAAGAUUCCCUAACUUAUGAUAAUCCGCUAAGGUUUCAAGUCAAAGCGGUCAUAACCCUCCCUAAUGAGGAAAUAUCUUAGCCAAGGACCACAUAGCCAUGUGCCUCAAAAGGACCGAGCUAUACCCCGUCGAUGCAACCCCUCUUGCCCUUUCGGUAAGAUCAUCAUAAGCUAGUGUUUCUAAUUAAUCAGCCAAGACCAGAGCCAUAUAGUAUUGUGGUUGCACUGUUUUCCUGGGUGGUUCUCCAUGUUCCGAUUAAAACAUAUAAUCUUGUGAUUAACAUCACCAAGAGCAUGAACAUGGAUAAAACAAGUAUAACAUCAUCAUUGUUGCCAUCAUGAUUAUAUAUUAUUCCCAAACCAUAACCAGUUGAAGCAACUAAGCAAUACCUACCCAACAAUAAAGAUAAAACCCAGGUUGACAAGGAAUGAUCAUAAAGACUAGGCAUAUCUUUAAUUAGGAUCCAUCAAUAUUAGGACACUUGCAUGCAUAUAAAGGAAAUGUUGUAUUUAUUGUGAUUAUUAGGACAAAAGCAUGAUCAAGGAAACACUUGCCUUUCUUUUAGAGAAUAGCUGCUCAGAGUCUUCAACUUUUGUUCUUCAAACUCUAAAUAUUCAAAGCUCUUGGAUCACGCUCCUUCUAACGUCACACAAGCAUCCGAUCGAAGCAUACAAGCAAGCAAACAAACAAGAACAACUAAAAACAGAUAGAACAAACAAAAGAAAAGCUUUAAAAAAGUGAACUAAAGGAUAAGGCUCGUUGCUACAAUCACGAGAAAGAAAGAAACACGGAAAACGGAGCUAGGGUUGAAAAGAUACAGCUAUCGGGAGAUUUAUAUUAAAAAGAAAUAAAGAACUAUAGGCUUUCAUUUAUUUUAAUUUAGAAAACCAAUGUAAAAGAUAUUCAAAAGAGAAUAUCCCUAAUUAUAAUUAACUCAUAUUAUAUUUGCAUUUAUAAAGACGAAGUAGAACAUAGUCAAAUUUUAUAUACAAUUCUCUAUGUACAAAUUAUCCGAAUUAAACAAUUAAUUAGAAAAGAAAACUUGUGAGAACAUCUAAACGCAUAACUUUAUGAUUCGAGUUGAACUAAACAAAUUGAAUUACAAACACAUUUAAGUUGAUAUUAAUCGAAAUAACAUUAAUUAUGAAAAUCGGAGAAAAGACUUAAUUGGAUUUUAAUUCGGAAAACUAGAUGAGAGGAUAUUAUUCAAAUUAAAUUGAUAUCUAAUUUUAAAAGCAGGAAUUAUGGCACAACAACGCUACUAAACAAUAGCUUAGGGUUUUAGAAGACUAACGCAAAAAGAACGGAUCGAAACGGAUUUAAAACGCGGGAACUACGCAUGAAACAGUGCUGCAAGGACCUAUACGCGAUUAACUAUAGACUUUAGGGAUUAGCAGAAAAGAAAUACAAGACACAGAAAAUAGUGCUUGCAAAAAUAGAAAAGAUUAGGGUUAGAUCUGAAAAAUUUCAUGGUGGGGCUGGAUUGAAAAGAUGGAAAAGAUCUAGGGGGUUUUCUGCGAAAUCUGCAAGACACAGGAAAGAACAGGAAAAUUACAUCUUUCUCCAGGGACUAAAUCGCGAAAAGCUUGGAACGGGCAGCGAUGGUGACCGGCGGGUACUGUAGCUCAAAUUGCCGGCGAUUUAGGGCACGAGAGGUCGCGGGAAGUGGUGGAAAAGAAAGAGGACGACGAGGGGAUUCAAUUCCAUACCUAACUUACCCCGAGGAUGCAUCGUAGAGAUCGAAUUUCGUGGAGGAAGAUGAAGGGCGGGUCUGUUCAUAGUGGUUUCCGUUCCUGCUCGUUGUUCCUGUUUUGGUGGCGGUCUGCUGCGCACCAGGGCACUUGCAGGGAGGCUGCGGCUGCAGGAGGGAGGCAGUGCUGCGCCAGGAGAGGGAAGGGGCAGGGGCGGCGCUGGAGGGGAGGGGACGCACGGGAGCUGGCGGCGAUCUAGUGUGCGCAUAGGGCAACAGCGGCACGGCAACAGGGGGUGCAGCGCACGGCAGGACUGGCCUGCAGGCUGUGCAGGGAGGGGCACGGCGACGUGCGGCGCUAGCUGUGCAGGGGCACGAGCAGCAGGGAGUCAGGGCGACGGCGAUGGUGAUGCAGAGACGAGCGGAGGAGGAGGAUGCGUGGGGCAGCAGGGAGAUGCGGCGGCGCAUAGGGGUGGAGGCGCAGGGCCGUUCUUCACGCGCGGUAUGGGGUGCAGACGCGGUGGAGGCGACGGCGUGCAGGGAACAUGCAGAGAUCAGGGUUAUGCGAGAAUUUACAGGGCACGCAGGAGUCAACGCAAGGAAAAAAAUUAGGGCCGGUUAUUGGAAAACAGGUGGUACAAGACGCGUUUAAAUAGGCCUGGAGAUAACAUGCUGGGCUCUGACUCGAACGAGGAUAAGGACGCGGCGGCGCAUCGGGCUGGGACUCGUUCUUGAGUCCAUAUUGCUUGGACCGACCAGCGGGUCCCACAAUUUAACGAGCAAAGAGAGACGAUAGAAGAGGUAACGGAAAGAGGAAACGAGAAGGGCUAAGUGAGUUCAAAAUGAGCCGAAACAUGAUCGGGUGAGGGCUAAAUACGAAAACGAGCUGACUGAGCUGAUUGAACGUGAACCAUUUAUUCAGGAGCGCGAAAAGAGAAGAAAAGGAUCAGGCCGAGUCGUUGGGGCUGACGGUGAUCGAACAUCAUCGGAAAAACACUGAAGACCAGCCACGCGCGUCGUUUUCAUGCAUGACCUGAUCGAGGAGAAUGGUUAGAGGAUCAGGAACUCGAUGGAAUCUCUUAAAGAUUUGAAGAGACAAGAUUAAAAGGAUUUACAACAAGAUACGGCUCGGUCCGACUACGAUGAGAAUCAAAAUAGAAAUAUUUUCCAGAACAUAUUUUCAAGUUGAAAAUAAAUCUAGAAAAGUUCAGAUAAAUAUUUCAAACCAAGAAAACUAUAUCCGGAAGAAUCCCAAAAAUUUCCGAGGAAACUCGGAAGCUAAUUUUAGGACACGAGGAAUCCAAAAAGAAUAUUUGGGACUCAUGAAAAAGAAUUUUAGAGCUUUCCAAGUAAAAAAAAUGGAUCUAGCUCUUGGAUAAAUAGAAUAAUUGCCAAAAAAAUCUUUAAAAUUCUCAGAAAAUUCUAUUGAUAGAUGAACACAUUGUAAGAUACAUUCACAUCCUAAAAUUAAAUAUUUUAGGGUGUGACAACUGCACGGUGCCUCUUGUGAACUGGCACCGUUACUAUCUUCAUCCUCUUCCUCGUCCUUGUUACCGUCGCUCACUGCCAUUUCUAGAUCAAAGAUACGAUUCUGUAGGUAGUAGAUAUAGUCUUGAUGUGGAUGAAUAGGUGCAGGAUCAACCCACUGAACAAACCCGCAGUUUUCCGAAGCAGCGGAAGACUCAAAGAAAUAUAUCUUGUUAGUUGCAGAAAAGAAGAGAAAUAUAUUUAAAAAAUGAAUAGUAGGAAGAAUCACCCAUGCUCGCGGGCAUUUGAAAAAUCGUCGACCUCCAUCGACCCCCUCGGCGCACAUCUGCACUAAGCAGUCCUCACCAUGCAUACAUUUUGGCCAAUCUUCAUUGCGGUUAUUGUAUCCUCUGAGGGGUGCAUCCUUGGUGAAUUCACUCUUACUCUCAACUGGAAACUCAUACACUGCUUCCGGAAAGAAAUCAGGCCCAAGAGAUCCCUCCCAAACAAUUGGAGGUUCCUUCCUUCCUCCCUAUGCCGAAACCCUUUCCACUAGACGACUCUCCAGACAUUCUUACUCUAGUGUCUCUUGUCUUCGAAAUUAGAAGCAAUGUAUCCAGCAAUGCGUACAUAUAGAUGGAUGCAGGUUUACUACCCGUUCCGUGGCAUCGUAAAUGCACCUGAAAAGCCUACGGGCCUAGAGACCUAUACUGAAAAGCCUAUAUCGAAGGACACUGAAAAGCUUAUAUGAAAACACACUGAAAAGCCUAUUUGAAAACACACUGAAAAGCCUAUUUGAAAACACACUAAAAAGUCUAUUUGAAUUCAGAUUGCAAAGGCUAUAUCCUUUUGCCGAUUGGACAAUACAAGUUGUAAUAAAUGUAUUGGUACAUUCAUAAUUGCCAUAAAAUCAUGUUAUGCGCUUCAGUACUAUGAUGAACGAAUCACGGAAAAAAUUCGCAAGAGCUUCACUUGUUUUACAAGCAUCUGCCGUGACAAUAAUACAUCACAAUAUGAUACAAACAUGUAUUCAACCAAAUACCACCAACAUGUCCACCAAGAACCAGAAUAUUCACACAUGUCAGAAGCAUAGUCCAUAAGAAUAUCCACACAUGUUAGAAGCAUAGUCCAUAGUCCAUAAGGUCCAUACAAACAAUUAGAGACAAAAUCCAUACAGGCUAAAUAGUCCAUACAAGCUGAAUAGUCCGUAUAAACAAAUCAAAGACAGUCCAUACAAGCUAAAUAGUCCACACAAGCUGAAUAGCCCAUACACUCCAUGAACUAACCCUUACUGUCUCCUAGUCUUACCCUUGCCCUUACCAAGAGCAUCGGUGCGUGCAGUGUAAGGGUCACGUGGAUGAUGCUGCCUACGUGCUGCCUGUGUGAAGGCUGUGUGAAAGGAGCGUCUUCCAGCUGAGACAGUCCAAUCUCCUCGGCUUCGUCCUCCUCAUCAUCGCCACCACUAUCCUCGAAAGUAUCCCUUGUUGACUUGGACGAGCUCUGUCUUCUUGAGCCUGAGCCUCGCUGCAUUGAUAUACUGAGGCCUGCACAGGUGUUAGAUAGUCUUGUUGGUGGACCGUGCACGUCCAUCGCUGUGCUAGUCCUGCAACCACAAUGAGCAGCAGCACAGCGUAGACGACCUGCAAGUUGGUGUUUAAAAGAUAUCUAGGCCCCUUAGUGGGUUUUGGUGGUAGAUGACAAAGCACAUAUAUAUCUAAUCAUGUUAUCGAGCAUGUGUGCAGGGGCUAAGAAUGAUAAAGCAAAGCGUAUUACAAAAACAUGACCCCUCAAAAGGGAAAUGAAAAGCGGUGUUUCAAAUUUACUUGAAGAAUUAGAUUUUAUUUUGAAAUUGAGUAUAGGAAUGCCAUACUAUCAAGAGGGACUUCGAUCCACAGGUGUUGAUGUGGUAGUUGUGCUCAAGAGAACCUACAAAAGCCAUGAGAAUCAAACCGACCACUAAAAACAGUCUUCUUGUGAAAUUCUAUGUUAUAUCCGGAUUGUCCGGUUCAUAGUCCGGAAUGUCCGGACAUAGUGCUCCGGAAUAUCCGGACAAACACUCAGAGUUUCCAGGAAACUGUUACCCAUCCGAAGUUUUUCUGAGACCGGAGUCUCCGGACCCUAGUGUCCGGAGUAUCCGGACAUAUACCCGGAGUAUCCGGGUACCGUUUACCCAACGGCUAGUUUUCUGUGAGAGGGGGUAUAAAUACCCCCCAUACCCCUUCAUUCAUCUCUCUCUUGCUCAUUUCAACCAGAACACACCAGCAAGCAAAAGGAGAGCUCUCUCACUUCCCCUCUUUCAUUCUUGGGUGAUUUUCUUUGGGGAUUCAAGUGAGAUUGUUGCAAUAGCAAAGAUUUGUGCUAGUAAGCUUCCAUUCCAUCUCUUGAGCACAACAUCCUUGUCUAGCCGGUGGAUUCAAGUUUAUUACUCUUGGAGCUUCAAGCUCCUAGAUGGCUAGGAGUCACUUGUGAGUGCUCAAGCAAGUUGUGAGCAGCACAAGAAGUUUGUAAUCAUCAUUCCUUCUGAAGGAACACAUAGUAAGUAACGUUGGGUUUGAGCGUUGGUCUCACCCUUGGAAGAGGAGCAUAGGGGUUCUUGAGCACCAUCUCUUGUAUCCUUCCUCAACGGAGACGUAGCUCCUUUGGGAGUGAACUUCGGGAAACAAAUUCUGUCUCUCUCUUGUGCUCCUUACUUGUCUUUAUUAGUUAUUUGCUUGUGAGACUAACUUUCUAGGGCUUAUGGCCGAUCUACAAUUAUACUAGUCUCUAGAGCAAGAAAACUGGUAAGAAACGCUCUAAAGGUACCACUAGCUUGUCUAAAUUUACUCGAUCUAAAUUGCAGCAUCAAUAUCUUGUUAUUGUGUACAUUGUUUCAUACCCGAACUCUCUGGACAAUAUUUUCGGAAACUCCGGACAUAAAACCCGGAGUAUCUGGACAUAUAUCCGGAGUAUCCGGAUAUCUGUGUUACUGACAGUAUUUAAAGUGUUUUAAGUUUUAGAUUAGCCUAUUCACCCCCCCUCUAGGCAUCUUGAGAUCCUUUCAGUGUUUUACCGCCACGCCCACUGAGGGAUACCCCCGAGGUGGUGAGUUUGUAGGUAGGGUGUCACCGAGAUCAGGAACUCGAAGGUGCAAAGGAACAUAGGGUUUUAGAUAGGUUCGGGACGCCGAGAGCGUAAUACCCUACGUCCUGUGUGGUUUGUAUUACUUUUGAUGAUGAUUGGGUGAUCUCCUGGGUGAUUCCCUACAUGAUCGCUGGGUUAUCCCCUGGAGGGGGUACCUGUCCGCCCUACAGUAGUAAAACUAGUCGGAUACAUGCCCUAGAGUCCUACCCGAGUACUUUUCUGAUAGUUUCCUACUGUAUCUGACUAGUUUUACUAUAGUAGGAGUAGUUCUACUAGUCUACGAGUAGUUACAACAGAUGCAGGGUGUGGCCGCGGCCCCAACCAUUAUCCUAGGAAAAGUAUGCCACGUGUACAGCCCCGUGUACUCGGGUCUGAAAGCCCCGAGCUCUUCAUAGCUGAGUACUGCAGGCGUCUGAAUACUUCUGAAGGCGUCUUCGAGUUCUCCCAAACUUCAUCUUGAAGGUGUCCUCCGAAUACUUCCUUGGCUUCAUCGAGGCUGUGAGGUGCUCAUGCCCCGAGUAGUUGUCUUCUUUCAUAUGGGGUGUGAUUGAAUUCGCACUCUAUAUAGAGUAGCGCCCAAGCCUUAGGUGGACUCGCAGAAUCAGGCUGAUGGUCAAUUCAACCUUGAGUCUUCUAUCUUUAUCUUCCAGGAGAUUUGAAAAAUAAGUCGCUGAUGACACGUGCCCUGCAGCCCCUGAGACUUGAAUCCAAAUCCCCGAGUUUUGGAAUGAAGGAUCCAAGGAAUCGUGGCUUGCAAUAUAUGACAGUAGAGAUUUGAUGGUUAAGAUGGGCAGAUCAGUUCAGUAAAUUUGAAAACCUCUUUGUUCGAGAAUCAUUCCCUAAAAAAAUAGCUAAAUAAAUAACUUCACCAAAAAAUGCCCUAAAUUACCACUCAAAUCAAACCUACGUUGCUGAGAGCCGUGUCGUAUCCAACCCCCAAGCCUGGGAGCUAAAAGAGUCGCAUAAUAUAUGCCUAGUAGUCGGUGACGCUAGCCCCCGAGCCUAGGUAUUGGCCAAGUUGCCGCUGAAUCUCGAAUUGCCGAUGAAGCCCACUGGUCGGAGUCGAUUCCAAUUAGUUUUGUAAGCGAGAUGAGUGGUCGAUGUAGUCUCCAGCGUGUUGCCAAGCACAGUCGAUUCCGACUAUCUUGUAGGCGACACGAGUAGUCGAAGUAGUCAGGCAUGUGUCACCGUCCGUUCUUCACGAAGUCCAGCAGUCGCCGAUGGUUGUUGAUGAACCCAACUAGUUGGAGUUGAAUCCGGCGAGUAGUCGUUGGAGUCAUCGACGUGUAGGCAAGCGUUCUCAAAAAAUCGGAGUAGUCGUUGGCGAUUAUUGAUGAAGCCAACUGAUCGGAGUUGAAUCCGACUUGCCCAGCAGCACGGUCCAGAUCAGAUCCCCUGCAAGGUAAACAUAAAAGUAUGUUGUAAUUGAUAAACAUGAAACCGUGUUGGGAGCAUUGCCCUUGCAAUAAACUACAUAUAUAACUAGUUGAAAACUAGUAAACGGAGAAAUAUUGAAAGUAUGGGAGCGAGACCCCUUCAGUAAUAUAGAGUACUAGUCGGAGACUUAGUAGUUGGAAUGUUACUGGAAGUAUGGGAGCGAGGCCCCUUCAGUACACUACACGUAGUACUAGUCGAGAACUAGUAAAAUGGAGCAUUAAUGGAAAUAUAGGAGCGAGGCUUCUUCAGUACACUAUGCGUAGUACUAGUCGAGAACUAGUAAAAUGGAGUGUUACUCGAAAUAUGGGAGCGAGGCCCCUUUAGUACACUGCACGUAGUACUAGCCGAGAACUAGUAAAACGGAGUGUUACUGGAAAUAUAGGAUCGAGGCCCCUUCUAAUACACUACGCGUAGUACUAGUCGAGAACUAGUAAAACGGAGCGUUACUGGAAAUAUGAGAGCGAGGCCCCUUCAGUACACUACACGUAGUACUAGUUGAGAACUAGUAAAACGGAGCGUUACUGAAAAUAUGGGAGUGAGUCCCCUUCAGUAAUAUAGCAUAUCAGUCGAAGACUAAUAGUGUAUUACUAGAAGUAUGUAAAGGUGACUGGAAGUCAAUUAGCGAAAGAUAGAUGAAUCCUUCUAGUAGCUUCAGUCAUAUCCUUAGGCGGACCAUAAGAAUUCACUUGUUGACUUGCAAAAAUAUCACGGUUGGCCCUAAGGGAUUGAUGACGAGAUCUUUCACAUGAGGCGAUGAGCUCCUUGGGCGGGCCAAGACAAGUCUCAGUUGGCGUUGAUACAGAAGUAGUCGUUGCCAUGUGAAGAUGUCUCGGUUAGCCUGAAGGAAUACCUUGGGCAGGCCAAAACAAGUUGUAUGGCGCUGAAGUAAGGAUGAACGAACAUGUCCUGUUUUGGGUAAACUCCUUGAUCCCCUGACCGAGUGGUUGAACGAAUGCUUUGGGAGAAAACCCUUUGUGUCGAGAUGAAACUCGAGACAAUUAUUAAACAAAUUCCCUAAAGAUCUCCGUAAAACCUCCUUCAAUAGGGUCACUGUCUUCUCAUAGGUGAUUGGCGAUCUUGAUUCGUUGGUGAUUGUCGAUGAAGCUAUGUUGCUUGUUGAUGAAGCUGUGCUAGCUUGUUGAAGAUCCCGACUAGUCGGAGUCAAUUCCAACUAGUCACUGGUGGUGUGAGUCCUGCUUCCGGCUAGUUGUGUAGUCGAAGUAGUCGGCGGCGGGUCGCCGAGUGCCCUGGCGAUGGCGAAGUAAUCAUCGAGGAGUCGAGGGUCGUGCCUGCGUGGAGCAGUGCUAGGCUCGACAAGUUGUCGGGGUUGCUGGCGCAAAAAGGUGGGCUAAGCCGGGUAGCUUGGAGGGUCCAUGCCCUUCCGAUACCCUGGCUUGCCCUUCCAAGAUUGUAGCGCAAAAAGGUGGGUUGAGCCGGGUACCUUAGAGGACUUGUGCCCUUCCGAUACCCAGGCCCGCCCAACCAAGUUAUAGGCAAAGAAAGGUGGGCUGAGCCGGGUAGCUUGGAGGACCCGUGCCCUUCCUAUGCCCAGCUCGCCCAACCAAGUUGUAGGCGAAGAAAGGUGGGCUGACCCGGGUAGCUUGGAGGACUCGUGCCCUUCCUAUGCCCAGGCCUGCCCAACCAAAUCGUAGGCGAAGAAAGGUGGGCUGAGCCAGGUAGCUUGGAGGACUCGUGCCCUUCCUAUGCCCAAGCCAGCCAUACCAACAUGGAGGCGCAAAAAGGGUGGGCUGAGCUGGGUAGCUUGGAUGACUCAUGCCCUUCCAAUGCCCUGGCCCGCCCUACCAAGAUUGAGGUGCCAUCAGGUGUUGGUGGCCGUUUGGUAAAGGUAUGGCGUUGUUGAUGAAGUCCGAGUAGUCGGCAAGGAUGGAACCAUUCGAUAGAUGUUGGCUGGUCCUUCUCCAACUUGAAGUAGACGAUCCAAAUCCUCCUCCGACUUGUAGUAGGCGAUCCAAAUUCUCCUCCGACUUGUCAUAGUCCAUCCAAAUGCUCCAUCGACUUAUCGUAGACGAUCCAAAUCCUUCUCCGCCUUAUGGUAGAUGACCUCUGGCUGAGGGGGAUUCGGAUAGAGGGGUUCCGAGUCGUCGAUCGAGUCAUCGAUUGCAUGGUUGAUUUCCAUGCCGGUGGUAUGGUUGCUUCAUGUUGCUUCUAGUUGGGAAAAAUUGAAUUCCGUCAAAACCAUUGGCAAAGUUGUGCUGGAGCAAAGCCCCUUCAGUAAACUACGCGUAAUACUAGUCGGAAACUAGUAAACGGAGUGUUUCUGGAAGUUUGGGAGCAAGGCCCCUUUAGUAACACAGCAAACUAGUUGGGAACUAGUAAUCUGACGUUACUGGAAGUGUUUGAUAGAUAAUCACAUAGGUGCUGUAUUUGGUUAAUUGAUGGGUUCCACUAGUCAUUGCCAAAUGAGACAACCACUCUUGGCAGUCGCAUGGUUCGACUGUGAUAGGAUUCCCUGAGUUUAGUAAGGGAAUCGUGAUUAACCCGAGUAGAUGAAAAUAAAUAGCAACCCUGACUAAGUGGUAAAAAGGGGUUCUUUUGGGUGUAUGGAACCUCUUAUUUCGAGAUAUAGUCUUGAAACAAUGGUUUAAACAAACGAAACACCAAAAAGACCCUCAUAAAACCUCCUUGAGCCGGGUACUUAAUUUAUGUGUAAAUCAUUAGUCAGGUAGUCCUGUCGCCUUUUGUUGUGGACUUGACAGAGCUCCAAGGGCCCUCUGAAGGGCUUGACAUUCAAAAGUAGAAUGCUUGCUCUUCGGGUGGUAUAGGCAUUGUCUGUGGAGGACUUCCUCAAGUCAUUUAUUUGAACUGGGAGUGUUUUUCCUAUGAGUGGAUUGUUCCACGGCUUCUGGCUUGCACUUCCGAGUAGUCUCCAAGUACUCGAGAGGGUGUUAGUUGCGGGUGGGGCUGUAGGCUUCCACUUCUUCACGCUCCUGCCGCCUGAAAAUGAUGACAUUGUGGGCGUCCAGGCCAGCGUUGAUGAUGGCUCGAAGGUCACUUGUGGAGAAGUCGUGGAGGUUAUGGCUUCCCUGCUGGUUUGUCUUGACGGCGCGGUGCCUACGUUGGGUGCGCUUUGUAUUGAUGAGUCUGCGGUGUUCCUUCUUGAUCUUAUCUUCGUUUUCCACCUUGAUGUUGGAUGAGGAUUCCCUAUCCAUUGUUUCAUCCAUGUCAUCAUCGAGUGGAUCAAGGAGAUAGUCAUCGUAGUCGUCUAGCUGGACCUGCUCUAGGCCUUCACAAUCCUCGUCGGCAUGAAUCAUCAGUACUUCUCGUUUGAAGCAUUUGGCACGCCGCACCACUUGGCCCUCAUCUUCAUUGUCAGAAGGGAGGAGGGGUCUGCCUUCUUGAAAGGGGAGUUCCCCGGGUGUGGCAAUGAAUCAUGGUGGACUUGAUUUGGGGGACCUGGAGGGUUUCAUGCCCUUCUGAUGCCCAAUCCUGCCCGAUCAAUCUGAUCCCCUUACCAGACCCUGGGUCACAUGAGUAGAUGGAUCCGAGUGGUUGUUGGAAACGAUAGCCCCCUGACGAGCGGUAGCUUCUCCUUCUCCAAGUGGUGGAGGAUAAUCAAAAUUCUCUUCCAAUGUGGAGAGGGUCCUGGGUUGAACCAUCUCAACCCGAUCUUGAUCCGUGAGCGAUUUGUCGAUGGAGCCAGCUAGUCGGAGUUGAUUCCAACUGGUUAUUGACCGAGCGGAGCUAGUCGUCGAGUAGUUUACGGCUCGGUCCCGACUAGUUGCUAGUUGAGACGAGUUGUCGAAGUUGUCAUCAGCACUGCCGAUUUGUCAUGGCAGUCAUGACUACGGCGCGAGUUGAGUAGUCGAGGUUGUCGCUGCAGUGCGUCGAUGUUGUGAUGCGGGGUGAAGUUGAGCGGAGGCGUCAAAAAUUUCCGGCUCCCUUGGGUCGAUUUACCGAAGGGUGGAUUGUGCCACAAGGCAGGAGUCAAAUUCGAGUACCUCAGGGGACUCUAGACCCUUCCAGUACCGGAAACAACCUUGCGCCAUGGAUGUUAUAGUUAAACCCGGAUGGCUACCUGAAAGCAACUCAGAGUAGUCUUCGGGUUGUGAGUGGAUAACGAGAACUGGGGCCUUCGACAAGUGGUGGCUCCCCCAUCCUCGAGUCCUCCUCGGUCUGGAAUUGUAGUUGAGGGGUACUAUUUGUUUGAAUCUGAAUCGUGGUUGAGAACGGGGGAGGGGGGCUCUGACGCGCGGUGGCUCCCUCAUCUCGAAUCUUAACGGGGUGAUCCAAGUACUCCUCUGAGUCAGGGAGGGACUUGGAUUGUGAAGCUUCCUCAGAUCAAUUUGAAUCCGAUCUGAGUCCUGGUGCAGCACGACUUGGAGUUGCGUCAAAAAUGGACGUGCUUUCGAUCUGCCUGGGCAGAUCAGGGAGCAGCAACUCGUCGAGAUCAUCGAUGAAGGAGUCGAGGUUGCUGCAUCGAGUUGCUGCAGAGGCCUCCGACUUCCUGGAUUCGAUUAGGUGGCUGUUGAAGCCACCCAAACCAUUGGCGAUGUAGAUCCAGAAGCCGAAGAUGAAGGUUGUGCCCUCGUCGAGCACGUUGCUGGUGAAGCUGAGAGAUGCCAUCGAGUUCUCCAGUGGAUGCUCCAUGAUCACCCCUACCUAGAGUGCCAGCUGUCGGUGUUUUACUGCCACGCCCACUGAGGGAUACCCUCGAGGUGGUGAGUUUGUAGGUAGCGUGUCGCCGAGAUCAGGAACUCGAAGGUGCAAAGGAACAUAGGGUUUUAGACAGGUUCAGGCCGCCGAGAGCGUAAUACCCUACGUCCUGUGUGGUUUGUAUUACCUUUGAUGAUGAUUGGGCGAUCUCCUGAGUAAUUCCCUGGAUGAUCGCUGGGUUAUCCCCUGGAAAGGGUCCCUGUCCGUCCUUAUAUAGUCUAGGGGGACAGGUUUAUAUGGAAGUCCUAGUCAGAUACAUAUCUUAGAGUCCUACCCGAGUACUUUUCUAGUAGUUCCCUGCUGUAUCUGACUAGUUUUACUACUGUGCAAGCAGUUCUACUAGCCUACGAGUAGUUACAAUAGAUGCAGGGCGUGGGUCAUGCCCCAACCCUUAUCCUAGGAAAAGUACGCCACAUGUACAGUCCCGUAUACCCGGGUUUGACAAUCGCUGAAUUCAUGAACUAGUGGAUCACGAUCAGGAUAAAAAAGGUUUGAUGAGCUCCAUAUCUUCUUCGCUCAAUGCUGCAACUGAGCGGUCAUCAUCUUAAUCAACGGCUCUUGCAUUCCCAUAAGGCUCCUUGUCAUCAUCUAUCUGAACAUCCACACUAUUAGAAGCCCAUCCUGUAUUGGAAGACGGAGGCACAUGGGGAACACCAAUAUUAUCUAGAAUAUCUUCUGCAUUUAAAUAACAAUUAAAGAUGGCGUUGGGACAAAGGAAUGGAAUAAGGGUGAAUAAUAAAAGAAAAGAUGGUGUUACUACGACACUUACUUGGAUUGUUUUGGGUCACAGGAAUCUCCUGAGUUGUUGUACCAACAUCAUCAAUCCGACAAUGUGCACCAGCAUCAGGACAAAUGCCAAACUCAUUCGGACCAGAUUGAGCAUCAGGGACCGCAACUGCAUCUUCCUGAUCCACCUCAAGGUUGGGUAAUGGAGGAUCAGCAGGUGGCGGAUUCUCCUGUUCUUGCGAAAACCCACGAGGGGGUGAAUGCACAUUAGGGGCUGAAUGCACAUGAGAGGUGGGAGCAUUUAACAACUUCUGCACAACCAAAUCCAAACAUUGAUACUCAUUCUUCACAACAGCCUCCACAUACUUCUCCCAUUCAACCUCACGUGCAAUUGGGACUGGCCGUCUGAAAAUCCGGCCAGACUUACCAAAGUGAACGACCCCUUCAACUGAGAUGGCAUCCUCAUUUGAAUUGCAUUGAAGCUCAUCACGAGCUCUACCAAAUACCUCACUAAACAAUGGCCGAUCAUCUAAUAUCAGAGAGACCAUGUGAAUUCCAUAAAAAAUGACAUUCCCAAACACAUCUUCCUCGAUUCUGCCUCCAUGAUAUAAGGUGACUAAAUUAUCCAUCUAGUUCAUAUGCACAACACAAAGGUUAUGACGGGUAUAAUAUAAAAUAUAACUAAUAACAUUUCCUAACUAUCUAAAUUACCUAAUUAACUAAAUUACCUAACUGAAGUACCUAACUAAAGUACCUAACUAAAUUAUCUAACUAAAUAACUAAAUUACCUAACUAAAUACCUACAUCUACUAUCUAACUAAAUUUUCUAACUAUCUACAAGAAAUUACUAACUACAUUACCUAACUAAACUACUAAAACUAAUUAAAUAAGUUAUCUAGAAUUAAAUAAACUACUAAAAUUACCUAAAUUGUUAACUACAAUACCUAACUAAAUUAAAUAAAACUAAUUAAAAUAAAAAAUAACUUACGGGAGGCUUGCCAGCUAGGCCGAGGAGGCCGCGUGGAGCCGCCCCUACCGCCAAUGCGCGGGGGGCGGCCGGAACGGGCGGGCGACGCCCCGAAGGAGGCCGCGCUGGAGCACGGAAGACCCCGCGCGGGGGCACACGGAGGAGGGCGCGCACCUGGCGGCCGGAGGAGGGCACGCAAGGGGAGGGCGGAGGCCACACGGCCGGCGAGCGGGGAGAGGAAGACCUCACGAGAGAGGAAGAGGGCGCGGGGAGAGAGACGGGCCAUGAUGUAUAGGAUAAAAGCUCGGUGCCAAGAUUUGUGGUGCCGAGCCCUCAGCCACGUCAGCCAAGUCAGCGGCUAUGUUAGGUUGGGGGCUAGGACCUCGGCGCCAUAACUCACGGCAUCGACACGUGUUACCUCGACGCCGACCUCAAAUCUAAAUUCGGGAAUACAUUCUCUAGAGGUCCAAAUGUGAAUUUUUUAAAAAAAACAAAAUGCAAAAAAGUACGGGGCGAGGCAGUGAGUGGGGGCGGUGGCGAGGAGGGGAGGAAAACCUUGGCCGGGUGAGGAGAUACAGCCGUUGGAUGAAGGCGCUGAUAAGCAGAGGCCGUCGGAUCUUCUCAUAUGGACAUUUUCGCCUAGGUCCUUCGAGAAACCUUCGUAGUGCGUCCUUCCGCUAUUUGUUCCGGUCGUCCACAUUCCCGACUCACGGCACGGCACCCCCGCGUUCUCCCGCGUCACCCCACCACUGCCGCCUCCUCUUCUACCGAGCGGCCGGUCCCACGCACGAUGAGAUAGAGGAAAGGCAGAAGACAGUUGGCAGCAGCACCUGUGGAGGAGUUGGACCAUGGAAAAGGAACAAAACCUGAUGGAGCCGCUCGUUGCCGCACAUAUCCCCUCAAGAUCCACAUCGUGGGCUUCUCCUCUAGGUCUUUGUAUUACCCUCUCUCCCUCCCACCGACCGACCCCCUCUCUCCCUCUUCUAGUUUGGGGAUGGCAGCAGCAAAGUAUGGACGUGGUAUGGUAGGCACCAGGUGCUUGCAAGAUGCUCGAUUGAAUUUCCAUGUGACCUGCACUCGUGCUUGCUUAGCUAAUUUCCAAGUUUCUCUAUAUUUAUAAUACCCAUAAUUCUUGACUUAUCUUUACUAGUGUUAUCUCAUGUUCAGUUCAAAGCGACAUUCAAUUUGGAGUUUCAGUAGGAUUAUCAGUUGUGAUUCAUGGAUUGGCAUCAAAAGUUCCAGACUGUGAUUAAAAUGCCUCUCUCUUUUCUGCUGUACUCUGCACACUAGUUGUUCGAUGGAACUUGCUUUCAUAGAUUGAGUACAGUUCCCUACUGUAUUCAGUAGGGAAUAUAAACAUUUGAAGAUACACCCUCCAUAUAACUAAUGGAAGGUGUAUCUUCAAAUAGGUAUAUAAUCUAGCAGUACAUUCGGUUCUAUAUUUUAUCAUUUGUAUGAUUAUCCACACGGUGUCCCGUUAUUACUCACCCUGCAAGAGUUCCAGCACAAGAGAUAAUGGCCCAAUACAUUCUAGCAUGAGGCCAUGUCCUAGCAGGAUAUUUCCAUCAGACCAUCACAAGAUUUAAGAAUUGUUUCUAUAAGCUUGUACAGCAUAGCAUUGUCUACAAUCUAAACUUAAAUAUUUCGCCCCUUCGUAGCUUCCAUGUGUUGUGGAUGAGUAUUGAACUGCACAUCCUUCUUUUUACCUGUUUGUACUGAUCAAAAUCAAAUAGUGUCUGAACGAGAAAAAAAACAUAGAAAAGACUAUCUCCCCAAGCUUUCCCUGAUGAGGUAUUGAGGGGUUUGCCCCUACACUAUUUUCUACUGCUUGGAGAUAGAAUGCCCCAUUAUCCUUUCAUAUCUGAAGAAAGAAUCCAAUGACUGGUCCCUAGAAUAUUGUUUUAAACAAGCCCAUAGCAUUCUUUUCCUUUUUUUUUGAACCAGGGAUUCAACCAGUAGUAGACAUGUUUUUUUUUCAGUUCCAGAUAUAUUUACUACAACAACCAAUUAAUGUCAUCGUUUUUGACACAUGUGAGGUCAAUUGCUUGGUUAUUUGAAGUUCAGCAUCAUGACGAACUGUUGGUACCAUUGAUCAUAAGGCACAGCCUCCUUUGUGUCAUUCUACCUAAAGUGCUCAUUUCAUCGGUGUCCCAAAAUGAUGUUUUGAAAGAAAAAAAUAAUUAUGUAUUACUGAAAUAUGAUUCCCAACUGCUGGUGGGCCAAAAUCGUGCAGAUGCUUAGGUACGCAGCCUGACCCAUAGAACUGUUAUGCCAGCGGUAAGUACAACAGUAGUACUGAGUAAGCACUGAAAUACUCUGCCACUAUGUCCACCCUGCUCAUUCAGCUUUUAGAUAGUUAUGUUAACUUUAUCGCUUAAAUCCCAUUGUUAAAUUCAUAGAGUUCCAAAUGUUUUUAAUUUCAAAUUCAAAUGCUACAAAAAAUAUGCCAGCCUUUUAGGAAUUAUUUUUUGCCAUAUCUAACUGACAAACUGCCAACGAUUUUCUCCCCAUGCGUUGCCGCAUGACUUUUAUUGUUUCCGGAUACAUCGAGUUCCAGUCACAGAUACACUCAUUGCAUUUUAGUUUCAGUGCAGUCAAGGAAAAGAGAUGAUGAGGUCCUUUUCUCCAACAAACCAACAAAACAGGUCCAAACCCGGGAUGAUGCAAUGAAUUGACUAUUCUUUCUCUGGGCUCAAACGAAGUUACAGACUGCAAAAAAAGUGGUGCCGGCUCUUGCGUCCAUGCAUUUGUUCAUCAUACAUAGCUGGGGGGGCCAUUGGGCGCGGCAAAGCCGUAGUGUGGUCAGGUUGGUGGUCUAUUUGAGGCUGUAUAUUGGCAAGUACAGAUUGGGCCUGUUUCAUAGGCUCACUCCACUCCAGGCCCGUCACUGGGCCCGCCACCAUGACUUCCGGACCUGUUUAGAUCAACCAGAGACUGCAAUAACAGAAUUUCGUUGCAUUUUCAGUCAGAUCUUACUGCAUCCUAUAUAUAUGCUUUGUGAUUCGUGCAAUUCCUGGAAAGACAUGGCACUUGGUCUUCACUCUUCAGCACCGAAGGCCCGUUUGUUUAUUUCGACUUGUAAACGGCUUCCUCUGCUUCACCGCACCACAGUCCACAGGUGAUCGAGGACUGAUGACCGAACUAGAACUGUUGUUGCAGCCUUGCAGGCGAGAUCCCGCCCAGAGAGGGCGAGUCCAUCAGGCGUCCUCACCAACGGCGUUGACAAGAACGGUAAGCCCCACAAGCUCAGGCUCUAAUCCAUACCAGUAGCACCCUCGGUGACUUUGGCGAAUCCAAGAGAGUAGAUCCUUUCCUGCUCUGCGGAUUUCUUUCGUCUAGAUCAUGCAGGGAUGGUCUGAUGGCCUGUGCUUAAUGCUUUAUCUGUAGUGCGUCAAGAGGCUCGUUUACACCAACUAUGUGCGAGAGAUUGUUAAAUCAGUCUGGCCAAACUUAUGCACGUCACUUCCUGCAUACAUUCUUCUAUCACCUCAACAUGAACUCUGGCGUUUUGCUCUCCUCUCCCGGAAAUAAAAUGCACUGGUUAAUAACAAGGAGAUAAGUUCUGGCUUCUGGCAGAGCUGUGCGACAGUGAGCAACGCCUUUUUUGAGAAGAAUUGUCAAUGUGAUGCACUUUGUAUUCAGUCUAAUUCUGGUUACCACUCUUGCUGAUUUUGGAGAUAGAAAUGUAAUUCAGUGUUCAAUCCAACUCUGGUUCUGGCUGAUCUUGGUCAUAAAAAUUGCAAUUCACUGUUCUUGCCAGUUGCCACAUGUUUUAGGGGCUGUUUGGUUCCCUAGGGUUUAUUUUAAGCCCCAUCACAUCGAAUGUUUCAAUACCAAUUAGAAAUACUAAAUAUAAAUUAAUUAUAAAACUAAUUGCAUAAGUCUAGGGCUUAUUUACGAAAUGAAUCUAUUAAACCUAAUUAAUCAAUGAUUAGCAUAUAUUUACUGUAGCAUCAUAUGGUCUAAUCACGAACUAAUUAGGUUUAAUAGAUUCGGCUCGCGAAUAAGCCUAAGGGUUAUGGAAUUUAUUUUUUUUAUUAGUCUAUGAUAAAUAUUUCUAAUUAGCAUCUAAACAUCGAUGUGACUGGGCUUAAAAUAAACCUCCAGAGAACCAAACACCCCUUAGUUUGAUUCAUGUAGCAGCAAAAGUGAGAAGUUGCAAUUCGUGUUCUUGCCAUGUGUUCUUAGUUCCAUGUAAUUUCAAUAUGUACGAGGAAUUUGCCAUCUCUAAUGAGGGUUUGGACCCGUCUCUAAUUUCAUGAGGCAUUUCUAAAACAUGGUACGAGGAAUUUGAGCUGUACCGAGGAAUUUCAUAAGAACUAAUUACAUGAGGCGUAUCUGAAAUAUGGUACUAGGAAUUUGAGCUGUACAGAGGAAUUUCACAAGAACGUAUAUGUGUGUGUGCUCUUAUGCCCAAAGAAUUCGCGACAUAGGAGAGGCAUCAAGUUACUGUUGACAAAUAAGAUUACUGCACUUGGCAAUUUACCAAGUCGGCGCGGCACUGUACAUGAACGGGAGCGUUCCUGGUUACGUGCAGGCAUUCAGGCUACGUCUUAGCAGCCUCUACGCAGCUCCCAGCUCCCAGCUCCCAGUUCGUGUCUCGCGAAGAAAUUGACGAGAUUGCACGCCUCCCAAUCCGCUCCUCUCCUUCGUCGCUCACCUCGCCUCCUCCGCCUGCCCCUCUCAACGACGCCUCCAUCUCCCAUGUACUGCCCCUACCCAACCAUUUGUCGGGUAGAAGCUACAACGGCCAUUGAGAGGAGAAGGGGACGCCGCGAUGGGUGUGGCAGAAGAAGCGUCCACCACACCGCCGGUGGAUGUAGAACAUUCAGAGAUAGACGCAGACGGCCGGUGGGGGUUCGCGUGUAGAGGCGCAUCGAGAUGGCAACGGACAUCCUUCAGCAGCUCUGCCUCGAUGCCACAGCUGUUCCCGUUGCCACUCGCCAGUUUCGUCCAUCCCCUCGACUCCUUCUCUCCUUGAUUCCACCGCCGGUGGCAAGGUUCAGCUGAUGAUGCGGGUCAGCGCCAUGAUUUUUCGAUGCCAGACGACCAGAAUUGGUUCUUAUUCACUGGCAGCUCCAUUGUCGCGAACCACCUCGACCUCGGUGCUACAGGUUCAGGAUCCUCUUUGUCCAGGAGGCCUCAGGCCCUCAGGGACUCACCAGUGCGUAGCCUCGGCUGCCGGCCUGGUGCCCAUGUAACGGUUUGAUUGCAUCAUUGAGGAGGAGCCAUUGCAGGGAAGGUGAUACAGAGGCUAUUUUUGGAGAACAGAACAUCAUCCAUGCACGUUGUACUGUUCUCUGAACUUUACCAGCGUGCAAUUCAAAUCUAUUGCAGAUAAAUGUUUGAUGACAUUCCUUCCCAAAUGCUAUCUGAAAUGGAAAUAGUUGUAGUUCUACUGUCAUAUAUUCAGAGCAUUUUCUAGCCCUUUGUCUAGGUACAUGCCCGUUGUAGCAAUUCUCCUGGUCAUUUCCGCCAUUCGUGCCUAUAUCAGGGCAUCAGGUCCACUUAAUGUUGGCAGCUUACAUAACUACAAACUGAUAUGUAGUAUAAGCCACCCUCUGCUUCAUCAUUAACCUAAAUCCUAGACUGCUAUUCUUCUCUGAAUUUUUGGAUCUUUUACAUGUUCGACUUCCUGUUUUUGGGUUCGUAGAUAUCUCUGACAAUUUAAGGUCUGUUUAGUUGUUUUCCUUUUAAAUUGACUGAUGUUCUGCAGAAGAUAGAAUUAAAGGCAGAUGAGAGAAAAUUAUAUCGAAGUUGCUUUUGUUGCAUAUAUGAGAGAUUAGUUUUCUCUGAACUUUUCCUUUACUGCCUAGCCUACACGUCUUUGGACCUCUGCAUAUUUGAUUUCAUUAUCUUCAUCAGCAUUCAUCAGCAAGCAAAGAGCCAUGGUUGCUAUGUUUUUACAUUUCAAAUGGACUGGUAGGUGCAUUACUUCUUGAUUUAUUGUGGACACUGCCAUCCUGAAGCCAUGGUCAAGCAGGCAAUGCAACAAGUUUCUUGGUUGUCUUGCAAUGGGUUUGCAAUUUUCAUAUGACUUUUCAUAUGUGAAUCUUUGUCACUGAAACUGAAACAAUACCACAGCUUCGUAACUGCCUGAUGAAAAGCACUCAAUUUAUCGCCUACUUAUUUCUUCAUUUCCUUUUUGGCUGCCAAUAGAAGAUCUCAAUUCUUUAUGUCCACUGAACUUCCCUUCAUACAAGAUUGCUAUUUGUCUGUCCAAAACUAAAAUACUAUGCCUUCCUCAAAUGUUAAUAUGUAGGUCAAUUCUAGGGCUGCUUAGCCAUCUUGGUUUAGCUAUACAACCAACUAAUAGGAAAUCACUAAUCAAUUUGGUGUUGUUUUAUAAAGGUAAUGUAAUAUGCUUAGAUUUGCUGGAGUUUUGCUUACAGUCGUCCUGAGAGGCAUGUAUUCUUUGAAUCUGUUAGCUGAUGCUGCUAAUAUAUGGCAUCAUAAUGCUGCAGUAACUUUUUUUUCAUCCUCUAUACAGAUUGUCAAUUUCAGUUUGGGUUGUUCUUUCAAAAGGGCAAAGAAAGAUGAGACAUGAUGUGAAUUUUUUUACUCUGUUUUGUUCUGAUUCGCUUGCUUAGCAUUUAGUUGUCCAAAGAGUACAUAACUAUAUAUAUUGUGUGUGUAAAAAUUGUUUGUGUUAGCUGUAUUACUGACGAAAAAGGAUUUGACAAAGUUUUGAGUUUACAUUGGAAACAACCUUUUUGGUGGGUUUGUAGCCAACUCUGGAAAAGUGGAAAACUGCAAAGCUGAUGCAUCUUCUACAUUUUUUGCUUCUAGCAAUUUACCGACCUGACUCCUUUGAAUGGCUGCCUAAUUGUCUUUCCAGGGAGCCUUUUUCCCGAGUGCUCUUUCCAGCUAUCUUCUAUGCGUGUAGUGUUUGCGGCUAUUUUUUUUAAAAAAAUUAUGCUUGCACAAUAUUCUUUAACGAUACCUGAAUACCUGAUUAGCAAGAGCAAGUGAUUUCAAGAAAUAAAGUGGACAGCAGCAACACAUGAUUACAAACGUAGGGCCUGGUACCGUUCCAACUCCAGAAAAUUCGUGGAGUUCUUGGAGCUGCUUGUACCUAACUUCAGAAAUUCUUGGAGUUAGAGUUGUAAAUAAAUCAAUUGUUAAGUCAUUAUACUUUUAUUUAGACUUACAUUAAAAAUAUAAAAUAUUUUAAUCUAUUUUACAAAACUUCAGCUCGAACAUUGAUCUCAGAGCUGGAGUUAUGCCAAACAGUAAUACAGGUGCAGCGUAGCACGCCAUCAGUACCAAUCAUGCUUUGGUAAACACUUGGCUAACCCAUUCCCUUCCACACCCAAACCAACCCAUGCCAUGGCAAGUGAAUUCAAUGGCCCCAUACGCUAUUUUGAAUUUUUUCCCUCCAAAAAUCGCAUAGUUAACAAAACCAAAGGUACGGAUUAAAAAUUAGAUCCGACCAUACCAUGCCCUACAAAUUUAUCAUGGUUCCAUUGAAACUGUAACAAAAUGGAAAUGACAUACACACAUCAAUGCACCAAUUUGGUCCAGAACUCUUAUCAGCUCUCAAUGAUAUUUAUGUUCCUCUGUCAUAGAGCCAUUUUUCCAAAAACAAUGGUUAAUAGGAGCAAUAUUGUGUAAGGAUGUAAUGUAACAAUACAAAAUUAUACAAUAAACUACUCCUCCUCCAUCCCAUGAAAAGUGCAAUUCUAGUCUUUUUUCUGACAGAUUAUUGGAGGUGAAAAAUAACCUUAAAUACCCCUGUUAACUGCACAGUCUUGAUAACCGUUUCGUUUGCCGCAUCCUUGAUUCCCGGUGAAGGGGUUUAUCCGGAUAAAAAAUUAGUUGCCACGCAUUCCGUUGGUGCCAACAAAAUAGAAAAAAAGCAGCCGCGCGGAAACUUUCGAUUGGCGCUAGAAAAAUAAAUGUCACGAAUAAAAAAGUAAGCUAUUUUUUAACCGGCCACAUCGUUUGCAUACAGAAUUUUUAGAGAUGGAAAAUUUUUGCUUCUGGCACCAAAAAUAUUGCGUAUAACUAUUGCACAUGCACAAGUCGGACAGUACAAAAGAAAUUACACCAGCCGCUCCUCCUGCCUUCAAUCAAUCGGGUCCAGCGGGCGGAUCCCCCAUUCUGGCCGCAGCCUGAAUCGGAGCCGCCGCUCAGCACCAUGAGCAGAGAGGGGCGGCGUGUGGGAUUGGUGAGAAGGAAGCGGUGCGGAGAAAGGAUGAGGGGUCAUGGAAAAAACGGACGGGGUUCGGGUGCCGAACGAUGGUUGGAGCGCUGCAUUCAGCCAGAUGGAUAACCUCCAACUGUUUCCUAGAAUUGCAUUCUUUGUUAGGAUUUCUUUCAAAUCUAAAAUUACACUCUUCAUGGGACGGAGAGAAUAAGCAGGUUUCUUUGGUUAGCUCCCUGCUCCCUCUUCCUACAAGGAUACAAAACGUAUUACCAAAAUCACAAAUUCACCAUAUCAGAUCAGGUUUAGUGUAUUACUGGCACGCCCACCUCACAGCAGAGUACAUGAGUCACCUAAACAAACAUGAACUCAUUACAGCAUUGUCCCUCCUCCAUAAGUCCUUUUCCAAUAAUCGCUCGUGAUCAACACCACCUUGAUUUCUCACAGCGCUUGUUCCUGAAAUAUAAUGUAUUUCUUAGUUUCCAAUCCAUAGACACAGUUGAUGAUGUUGUAGAACAUGUAUUAGAAAAACACUACUUUUAUUGUUACUAAACCAUCAGUUGCUAUGAAUUCAAAAUCAAUCCUAACUACAUAGUAAAAAUAGCCAAGGGUUGUACCUCUGUUGUAUUGGUCGAACUUUCUACCUUGUUGUCUCCUCUUACCAUAGCUUGAUACUUUCUUAAUAGCAGCUAUUUCCUCUUCACUUGGUUUCGGAACCCCUCCCAUCUAGAUCAGAUCUCGUGCUCAGAAGUUAUCAAUUUUAAGACAAGGCUAUAGAUUUUUCUUAAGGAAGGUUUCUUGUGCCUUUAUCAGAUCAACCACCUGUUCAAGUGAGUACCUCCAUAACCUCUUUGGCUCGUCAUCAGCACUGGACGUGCUUAGAACUUGCCUUGUGUCCUUGUCAAAGGCAUGCUCUGUAGUGUGUCGAGGCAAUGCAAUGACCAUCUUUCCAAGUAUCUCAGAAGGCGUGAGCUUUCGAGAUGCAUAGAACUUUGCCACAGCUAGACCUAAGAGGUUUGCCCCUAAACUGUCCAUUGUACUUGAACCAGUUCCCUUUGUAUCCUCUUCUUCAUUAACCCUAGUCGGUCUCUUACUCUCAAUUUUGAUAAGCAAUGGGCAUGACUUGAUGAUAUCGACCACACUUUUUUCCUCGGUAGAGGUGUAUGCAAGCUCACCGAGUGCAUCCCCUGCGGUUUUCUUCAAAGCACCGUCCUGAAUGAAUGGAAUAAGCGUAUAGUAAAACCAGUAUAGCUUCUUGUACAACCAAAUCCUACCAUCCAUUGACAGAAAUGAUGUGUGGUAUAUAAUUAAUCGCUCAUCUGAUGGAAACAUCAUCUUGUUAAAGAGAUCUCUUGACUCCUCUUAAAAGACACCUGGGAAUCGUCCCGAAAAACUAACUGACUAACAGGAGGUCGCCUGGAUUAACUUGCCUCCUCAGGUGACCCAGGAACAUUUGAAAAGAACCUCUUUUGAGCCGAACCCAGGAGGCUCCGAGACAAGCUGACCUGUGGAUUCGCCGCCGAGAUGAUUCGCGGCGCUGCUUGAAUCCCCAUCGAGUGUAGGGCUGCUUUCCUCCCCUUGUGCUGGGCUCGAGGGCCUGCUUCCACUGCGGGUAGCAAGCCCGUGCGGCACUGCUCCCCAGCGGAGUGGCAAUGCUCGCCGGUGGAGAAGGCCGAAGGUGUGGGCCGCGGUGGGGAAGGGCGGUGAAGGCUGCCGGAGGGGGCGCGGCAGAGGCGGAGCGCGCGGCCAUCGCCAUAGUGACGAAGAAACCCUUGUCGGUCGCCGGCUGGAAGAGUAACGAGCCGCCAGCCCCCAACUAGCGGUGGGUUUAGGGUUUUUCACGCGAUUCGGAAAGGUAGGGCGGCCGAGGACGGGGUGAAAACGAAAGUUUGCUACGCGUUUCCCCUUGCGGCGCGUCAUUUUUGGAGGCCCAGUCCUCAGUACAGUACCGAUCUUGAUCACAACCUGGAUUUCCAAAGAAAUGAUAUUUUUGGUGGGUAUAUGGGUCCAUUUUUUCAGUUUCUUCAACACCAGGGAUCGAAACCGGAUUUUCGCAAUUUCCUAUGCAUCUUACUCAGAAUUUAGUGUUCUGGAAACCAAAGCGUGCUUCCCGUGCGCUGUUGUAGACACAUAACUUGAAAUACUAUAAUUAUUUCAUUGAACUAAAAGCAUAUCGGCAAUGGGGAGACCCCUUGUAAUCAUGUAUUAUUCAAAUCAAACAAGCAAAAGUCUUAUUAAACUUAGAGCCUAAUGUACUAAAUUCAAAUGACGAGCCAGAUCAAUACAAAUACUUUCUCUAACCCACAAAGAGUGCUCUUUUAGAGUUUAUCAAACAGCUUAGUGUGGAGGAGAAAAGACUUGGGCACCCCUUUCGGUAUCCAUCCCUGCCAUGCGCUGGACGUUUGCUCACCCGUGGUUAUUAGCGACACUCUGCAACUUGGACAGAUUACAUGCAAACUUUUUAACACCUGCUCCAUCCGUGAACUGGGUCGAAGUUAACGAACGGGCCUUUUUGUAUACAACAGAAGAUCAGAUUGCAUUUUCCAGCACAUCCCAUUAAAGACUGGUGCUCAUAGUGGGAAGAAAAAGGAUGUUGAACUCAUGCCUGAAGCUGAGGCUGCUGCCAAAGCUUCUCUUGUUGUGCCAUAUGUGGAAUCUCUUCCAACAGUCGGGACUUGGCAAAUGGCCUCACUUGCAGGAUCAUUGUAUGGCAUGAUGAUUAGACUGCUACCUUCUUUUGUGCGCACAUGGUUUACUAAUUUGAGAGACCGUUCAUUGCCGUACUCAAUGGAGUUGGUUACUAGACAGUGGCGCAGCCCUCCUCUUCUGCUAGAUGAAUUUUCUCAGGUAUGUGGUGGCAUGAUACACAUUAGCCUUCUCAUUGUGAAAAACAACAUAUUAGGCUGUGAGGCAACUUGGCGACAUUAGAUUCACACUAAUUCAUUUGGUUUUCAUCAGUAACUGUUCCUUUUGUUGAAAUCAUGUAGUAACAGUUGAGGGCGUACACCUGUACAUGAAAAUCAGAUAAUGUUAUUCCAGUUGAAAUAACAUGAUCCUUGGAAUUGAAACUUUAUUACUGCCCUUGCAACUAACUCGUUGCAGGCUAAGGAUUCUGUGUAUGCUGAUGAGAAUUUCUCGGUUACCGUCAACCGAUCGGCUUAUGAAAUCGUUGCCUUACAUAGGCUCAGGCCAUUUCUAGACAUGCAUGUUUGUUGGUACCGUUCUAUCGUUCAUGUAAAUGACGCGCGUAUGUGGUGUGGUGUGGUGUUGCCUUACAUAGGCUCAGGCCAUUUCUCACUGAGCUCAUCUUUUUAGUCUCCAACGGACGGGUGAGGAAGCCUCUCCGGCUCCAUGGGCUCGCCAUCGUCGACGCCGCCCGCGUUCGGGGGAGGUCGCGGUCAACAAAUAAUGUUUACAAAAAGCAUCCAAGUUUUGCUAUUUUGAAUCGCAAUUAAUAAUUAUGAUCCAAUAUUUUGUAUAAAACUCUCUAAAUUGGAUCGCGAUUAAUAAUCGCAAUCCAAUAUUUUACAUACAAACCUCUACCCACGAUCCAUCAUUUUAACAUUAGGUCCUCUCCCGUCUCUCGUGGGCUGUGGCCAUGGCUCAGCUUCCUUUCUGCUCAGCUGACGGCGACGGCCGCCGCGGCUGACGGAGAGAUGAACUUAAUGGAGAACCAUGGCCGGAGAUGAAGAGGGCCGCACGGUUUCACCUACCUCUCAUCGUGCUCCUCAUUCAUUCCUUGCCUGCCCACUCAUAUGCUCUGUUGCUAUGCUCCCUCCUCUCUUCCUCCGCCUCCGCCGGUGGCGAGGAAAAGAGAUUCUUGCGACACGUACCGCACAGCUCGUUCUUCAGUAACCACAAGGCGGCGAGCUACAGAUCGCCAACGAUAUCGUCGUCGCGCGAGAGAAUGGGGAAAGUCUGUCCACCGCAUCAGUUCGUCUUGUCGAUGGUCUGAAACUCUGAACCAUCAUGGAUUAUACUCUUGCCUUGCGUUAGUACAUUCGUUCCCUUCAGUAACCAGCAUACGCAUGCUUGCACCUAUGACAAAAAAAAAUCAUCUCAUCUCUUUCCAUAGAAGCCUCUCGAGUCACCGUACCAUGCCAUAAUUCCCAGACAAUCAUGACAGCGCCUACCUUCUUCACCAUAACUUCAUCAUUCCCUGGAAGCCAUAGAGUAACCACACCAUUGACAUUGAAAUGACCCAUCAUGGCAGCACUCACUCCAAUUCCUGGAAGCUGGCAAGAGUGCUCACAAUAUUAAAUAACCUGUCAUGCAAAUAUGGCGGCACCCACCUCGCCAUAAAUCAGGGUCGUCGCGUACAGUGCCGGCCGAGAUUUUUUCCCCGCCGCGCGAACCGCCUCACCUCGUCUAUAAAAGAAGCCGACGCCCCCUCCCUGCCGUCCUCACCCGCGCUCGCUCUCGCUCGUGCACGCGCGACACGCCGGCCCCACGACGGGACCGCGCACUGCCAUCGGCACCACGCCGUGCCACCCACCUCCGUGUCCCCACCUCGCCCACGCCGCUGCAGCGUCCUCGCCGGCUUUGCCGCCUCGACGCUCACGCCUUCAGUGUUGCCACUGUUUGCGAUGACGAUGAGCUGCCGCAGCGCACGCCGUCGCCAUCCCUGCGCGACGCCGUUGCUGCUCUCCUCGCCUAUAAAAGGAGCGAGGCCGUGAUGAGCCCCAUCAUCAGCCCAAGCACACCGAGCCGCUUCGCUCCGCUAGCUGAACCACUUCUCACGAGCCCAGCUCACUCACGAGACGAAGCUCCAACAGUUGACCCUCUCUCCUCGAGCUGUUCCGCGCCAAGGUGAGAUGGCAGACAGCUCCCCGACCAUUAACUCCGCUAUACUAAUAAAGGCCCAAAACACCCACCAGGCUGUAAGCACUUAAUCCAAAUCAUUCUAUUUUCGGAGUUAAAUACCAACCAAUACUGUAAACUCAAUAUCUCCUUCGUAUCAACUCCUUUUCACGUAACUCUUUUUCCUAAACUCUCCUCAAAUCAUAUACUAUCUAUUCCUCCUAUUUUCAUCUCCAUUUGAGCUUAUUUUAUAGCUUGCUUGUGUUUGUUUGCCGGUUGUGCCGUUUUCGCCCGUAGAUCACGGAGUGACCGAGGAGGAGCCUGCCAAGGUGUAUGAAGGCCAGUACCGUGAGCCGGAGCCAGAAGACCCAUACCGCGAGCAGGAAGCCGCCGCCGACGUGUACGUAAGUGAAGGCAAGUUUCAUCGACCCCUACGUGAGCGGUUGCAUCCAUGUGAGGACGUCUAGUUGUAGCCCUGGUUUAGGAUCGAUUACAUAUACCGGUACUUGAGUGAUUGAGUGUGCUCAUACAUGCAUAUGAGUAGUUAUGCAUAUCCAGAGUUGAGACUAGGAUAUGAAGGGAUUUGGCUGAGGCUAGGGCAGCUGGGUAUGCUGGAACCGGCGCUACCGUGGUGGUAGACUGGCAGGUGAGUGCUGCCGUGGUGGUAGGCUCGAGUUGACAUGUUGAGGGAUGGUUGCUGCCCUGGUGAACCAUAAGGACCGAGUUGUUUUGACAUCUCACCUAGCUUACUUUAGUACGACCACAGGUUCCGGUAUGGGCCGGACUUAGCCUAAUGCCACUGGUUAGCCUGACGGUCGCAGGGAUGGUUUAUGGGUAUAGACCAUUGGGGUCAGGGCCGGGGGUUUGUGCGGUAGGGCUGGGGCCUGACCACGGCUGGGUGUCGGCUAUGUCGGUUGUCCGUUCGGGCAGUCGAGCUUGUGGGUACAGUGUAUGACCUCUGCAGAGUGUAUAAUCCAUUCGAAUGGUCCGUAUCCACGGAAUGGAUAGGCUACGGUGUGGUCCUGACAACUAGUGAGCUACCUACUGUGGGUUGUGUCGGGAAUAGUUGCAUACCAUGAGUUGCAUUACUAAUGCAUUGUGCUUAAUGUGCGUCGUGCAUGUCAUUCCCCUCCCGUAGGGUGAGGUGGAACUUGCUGAGUACUCUUGUACUCAACCCUUGUUGAUUUUUCUCCAGAGGAUCCUGACUUUAUGCUAGAGGACUGCGAGUAGAUCGUGUCCGCACCCAAGCUGAUCGAGUGGAGCCGUGAUGGAUGAAGAGCUAGUCCUCCAUGCCGUCCUACUAGUCGUUAUCCUAUGGUUGUGCUGUGUAGCUCUGUGUUGUCGCUUUACCCCUUGUGUACAUGUUGAAUAAAGCUCUGUAUGACUCUGGACUCCACUUGAUGUAACAUGUAUUAUGCUGGAGACCUUAUUCGGUAAUUAAUACAUGGUUUAGCCUUGAUCUUUGGGUCGGGGCAUUUCAGGUGGUAUCAGAGCCAUGCUUGGCUGUAGGACACGAACUGGUAGUAACGAUGACCGUAGGAGCCCUAGGAUGGUCAAUCCUUGAAACCCUAUUACUCCUUAAAACUUUAACCAUAUUAUGCUAACCCUACCUUUGUAAGUCAGAUGGCGGAUGACUGGACCACCACCUACUGCAUCAACGAAGAUGGAUUCCCCAGGGUGCUUUAUGCUGCCAUGGUGCGACUUGGUAUUCCGGAACGACUGGAGUACGUGGGUUGCGAGUUCAUGGAGCAUGGCACCGAAAGCUGUGAGGUCACCAUCCAUAUUGGCGCCAGUGAUAAGUACUUGGAGAUGCAACCCUGGAGCAUCACCGCCACUGGAGCCCGUAUGCCUGACACCAUUUAACUUGCAGCUCGCAAGGCACUGCGGUACCUGUGCCAGAUAUUUGAAUGGCACUUGGGUUCCACUCCCAUGAAGUACUUUCCACCGUUGGAUCGUAGCCGUCCUGCUUGGGCGGUGAGGAUCCGCAACCUGGAAAGUCCCACAGGGACAGAGAAGAACCCCAUAGUUGUCGCUAUGUCUGGCUAUUUGCUUAGCCUCGACGAUUUGUGCGACCAACUGUAUCAGCGUGUGAGAGAUUUAAUCCAGCGUGCUGAGGGAGUGGAGUCCCGUUGGCAUAGGGCUAAACUGGCCGUAGCCCAGGCAGAAGCCCGAGGAGCCGAAGCUGAAAGCCGCCUUGCCGUGGCCGAAGAGAACCUUAGGGAGCAGGCAGAUCGCCACAGUCAGCUCCUUAGGGGUGUCUACCUAGUGGACCGUGCCAAGCAUAAGGAACGCCAUCCCAGGACUGCCGCGGAGCCGCCAAUCCUAGAGGGAAUCCCGCUGUGUUCCUCGUCCCAACCACGUAGGAGGAUUUGUGAAUUAGUGCCGCCCACACCUCCCGCGUCUCCCUAAGAUCCCGGAAACAGUGACCCCGAAGACCGUGUUGUAGGGUUCAGUAGUCGAGUCGUCCCGGCCGACCCUUAAAAGUCUAGCCACGUUAUUAUAAUCCGUUGUGUCAUGUAUCCCUGCUUGUUUGAAUGAAUGCUUGUGUGGUGCUUGAAUGAUUCUUUUGUGUUGUUGUUAUCGCCAUAAUUUGACCGGGCCAGAAGUGGGCCAUGGAGCAAGAUGGGCUUGGAAGGCAGUUACGAUAAAACUUGCGAAUCGGACCCUGUGCAGGAGAAUGGGGCUAGAAAGGCCGUGUGAUUUGGAUAUAGGCAGUUAAGAUUCGUGUCGUGUUUAGUUAGGGUUAGUUAAAGAGGAUAAGUCUACGGACUAUAAAUAUGUACCAUGAAUAAACAAGAAAGACAGAAUCAUUCAUCAACAACUCUCGGCGCAUCGCCUCCCCUGUUUUAGGGUUUUCAUCGGGUAAGUGCCAUGCGGCCCCGAAGCAUUACCCUUGCUCGUUUGUUCAUAUGUUGCUCGUUCUGAAGCCUUGUAGAUGGCGAGUAGCAUUAGUUAUCCUAGCACGCAUAGAGUAAUUUUAUCCCUUUUGCAUCUUGAUCAUGCUUUGCUCAUUGCUCUUGUGUGCUUAAUCAUCGUGUUCAACCACGAAUGCGAUGGUUGUGUCUUGUUUUGUCUUUAUCAGUAGAUCCAAUCUGUUAAGGCUAGUUUCUGUUUAUUUAGAGGCUUGGUUCGAUAUGUGCAUGAUUAGGCCUUGCAAACGAGUUGAACGUUCCGGCUGUAUGCUUUUGUGUCGGCUUGUAGCUUGAGAGGGGGUUGCUAUAAGAAUCGGCUUUUCCGGUUAUUUAUACAAUCUUGGUUUAAGUCGUAUGAUCCGAUGCUUUUGUAUAUUUGUUAGGCUCAAUCACGUGUAGGAUGUUCCAAUCAUGCUGUGAGGGCUUAGUCGUCGUAGAUUGGAUUAGACUGGUAUUUAUGAAGCAAGAUUUAUUUCAUUAUCGAAUAUAUACAUAUUGCCUGUUCCAAAGAUCCGAUCCGGUAUUGAUGCAAUCGGCUCUUCAUAGCCGAUACCGGGGAGGAGUGGUGAGCCGAUUACGGCUCGGACUAACCUUUACAAGUGUCUGUGCUUACAGGAAUUUAAUACAUCACACCUUCCUGAUUAGGUGCAGGAUCAGGUGGCACGCCUAGCGACUCCAAGCCAGGGUGUGCGCCAGAUCGCUGGGCCGUUGACCGAGGGACCGGGGCCCACCAGCCGUCCCGGAAGCCUCCCGGCUCCUCGUGUUGCCUGUCGCUGCUUGCCGGUGGGUUUUGACCGACAACACAUUCUAGCACGCCCGGUGGGACCAUCUUCAUCAACUUCGUCAUCACCAUCUUCAUCGACUUCGUCAUCACCGUUGACUUUGUCAAUCGCUGACGGCAGAAUGGCAAGAGAUGACCCAAUCACUUAUGAGGAGCUCUCUGCCGAGCACAAACAAAGAUAUGACGAAAUCAAAGCUCAAUUUGAAGCCGACCUCAUCGGCUCUUUUGAAAGGACUCGUAGCCAUGGUGUCAAGUGGAGAGGGUUUUCACCUGAAGGUGCUCUUGAUGGAGUAGACCUAUCUACCCCUUCUGAAGAUCGUACAAGAGCUUUGCGGCAGGAGGUAAAUUAUGCGGUGGCUCAUUCAUUGCACCGGCAUUCUGAAAGUUUGGUCAACGCUUUUGAGCGUGUAGCUUUGCGAGUGGUCCAAAAAAUUAUGAAGCAUCAGCAUUCUCCAACUGGGCCCACUCUGGGAAGUCAUAACGGAGAAUUGCCGUUCCAGACCAGACCUCCAUUGCCUUAUGCACUUGCAGCUGCGGAAUCACAUGGCGCUCCAGCUUAUGUGGUUUAUAAAGUGGGAGGUGAUCCCAUGGAUCACCAGUUCUUCAGCGAGCCACCCAAGGAAAUCCCACACGGUUACAUGUGUGCAUACAUACCGGACAACGAUAACCCGGUACGUUCCGCACAAAAAGUAGUUGGAGGGGUUUCCGGAGCCGACGCAGAUAAGCAAGCGUGGCUAGCAACUUAUGCUACUGGGCCGAGUCAUGACAGUAUGCACUCGGCCCCUGGAUUACAAACAGCGGAGCAAAUCAGCGCCAUCCUGAGGGAUCAGUAUGGCAUAUUACCAAGAGGAGAGCGAUCGGCUAUACUAAGCUGUAUCCAAGUGACUACGAUCUAAUUCCAUUGCCACCUAAGUAUCGGCUCCCUGAGUUUACCAAGUUCAGUAGAGCAGAAGGUUCUAGUUCUAUCGAACACGUGAGCCGGUAUUUGGCACAAUUGGGUAUAAUCUCUGUAUCAGAUCCGUUGCGAGUAAGGUUCUUCUCGCAAUCGCUCACAGGACCGGCCUUUGGGUGGUAUACGUCAUUAAGUCCUGACUCCAUCCGAACUUGGAAGCAGCUGGAGGAACAAUUCCAUAUUUAAUACCAUUCAGAAGCUGCAGAGGCGGGAAUUGCCGAUCUAGCGCAGCUCCGACAGAAGCGUGGAGAAACCAUGAUAGAGUUCGUUCGACGCUUCAUGGAGAUGAAGAACAAGUGUUAUUCAAUAUGGAUCUCAGAGAAGGAAGCUGUCGAGUUGGCGUCAUUGGGGUUACUGAAGCCAAUCAGAGAUCUGGCUUUUCAAUUGGAGUUCACUUCCUUGGCACAUCUAGUCCAAAAAAUGACGACGCAUGAGCAGCGUCACCCUGAGUUGUACCAAGAAAAAUUUAAGCGCCAAGUAGCGCUAGCUGAUACAGAAGAAGCCGAUGACUCCGGGGAAGAGAUGGAAGUAUCAGUUGCAGAAUGGGCUCGUGGUGCAAAUCCCAUACCAUGCAAGUGGGUAAAGCAAACUGGGCCGGCGAAGGGGUUUGAUUUUGUUGUGAGUAAAGCCGAACAAAUUUUCGAUUUGUUAUUAAAAGAAAAGCAGUUGAAGUUUCCAGAAGGAUACAAACCUCCCACGGCGCAGGAGUUAAAAGGAAGAUCAUAUUGUAAAUGGCAUGAUUCUUUUACCCACAGCACCAGUGAUUGCAAGGAGCUCCGUCGGCAAAUCCAAUCAACUAUUGAGCAGGGCCGAUUGAUCCUAGGCCAGACCGCCAUGAAAGUUGACACUCAGUCGUUCCCUGGUGUCAACAUGGUGGAAAAUCAUGACUGGUCUGCAAGGCGACAACUGGAUUUCGCGCUUGGCAUCAACAUGGCGGGGAUGACAUCACGCCACCAGGGCAAGAACAGAGAGGCUGAUCCCAGCGAUCGGCCCCAAAAAGAGAAGAAAGAGUACGUCACAGAGAGACAAGUAAGUAUGUAAGGAAUCAACGACCAACUUCCUCUGAUCUUCUCAGGAAAUAUGAAUACAAGUACCAGCAACGCCUCCAGCGGGAAUCUGAGGAAGAAGAAUAUGAGCACCGCACCGGAAAGCGCCUGAGGAAGCAUGAAGAUGUCCGUGAUCACUGGCACUGCCCGUUCUUCAGGUAGUGUUGGGAUUCAGGUAUGAGCCGGCUGCCUACUAUCAGGGAUUGCCCAGAAUGUGGGCCAAUGAGGUCAGAAGCAAGGGAUUCAGUUUUCCGGCGGCUAGGACCUGCUUCAACCUGGCAAGAACGGGUUCGGUCACCACGAAAGGAAGAUGAAGAAGAAGAUAGGUAUCAUCGUCCAUGUUGGUGCCCCGAUGGACUUAAUCGUUCCCAGAAGCGCAGGGUUCAGCGGCUGCGUAGCUUGGAGGAGGCCGAGGCCAAGUACAUCGAAACUUUAAGGAAAGCGCGACCAGAUUUGGUAGAACAAGUCCAUUAUGUGCAGGAAAAAGAGUCGCGCCCAUCUAGGAAAGAAUGGCGGCCCAAGUCAACAAAAGCCGAUAAGAAGGUAUCGGCUGAUGCACACAUGGUUUUUGUACUUCCUGCAGAGUUUCAUGCUCGGACCCAGGAGGAGCCAUCAGUAGCCCAGCUUGAUUUGGGACCACGGCUGGUGAUAUUCGAAAAGCCACAAGCCAAGAACUACAAGCACCUGAAGGCCUUAUAUCUUAAAGGGUAUAUUAAUGGUCAGCCCGUUAAUAAAAUGUUAGUGGCUAUGGGAGCGGCAGUUAACAUCAUGCCAUACUCAGUUCUGCACCGUUUGGGGUGGUCCACCGGAGAUCUAAUCAAGACCAACGUCACGCUAAGUGACUUUAAUGGGCAGACUUCAGAAGCUCAGGAUGUCCUCAGUGUGGAUCUCACCAUUGGAAACAAGACCGUCCCGACUUCAUUCUUCGUCGUCAACAGCAAAAGUACCUACAAUGUUUUACUUGGCAGGGACUGGAUUCACACCAACUGUUGCAUCCCCUCCACAAUGCAUCAAUGUUUGAUCCAGUGGGAUGGAGACGAGGUGGAAGUGGUCCAGGCAGACGACUCGAUCGAAAUUUCGCAUGCUGCCAUGAGCAUUUGGGAUGCAGAAGAUCAAGAGCUGAUUUCAGGGAUAAGCCUGGAAGGGUGUGACCGCAUCGAGGCCACAAAAAACGGAGUAAGGCUGGUCUUAUCCACCGGCCUUACAGAAUAAAGGAGCCGCAAGGAGCGAGACGUUGCAGCGAAGCCAUAGAGGCCGAUUCCUGCAAUCGGCCCCAAAAAAGCGAAUUUGUGAGGCCAGGUGUUUUAGAUAGUUGUUAUGGGACGGCCAGCGCUGGCAGCCGGCCUUAUUCUUUUUGUAAAAACUUGGAAAAUAGUGGGAUGCGUGGAAUGGCCGAUCUUAACGAUCGGCCGGAAUUCUUUUUACUGUCUUCCUUUUUCAUCUGCAGCAUUGAUCUAACGGAGGAAGGGAAGAAAGGAUAUAGUUUCGCGUCGGCUGACGAACUUGAGGAGAUAGAUAUUGGUCCUGGGGAUAAGCCACGACCAACAUUUAUAAGUAGAAAGUUGCACCCAUCUCUACGAGAGCCGAUGAUAACUUUGCUAAAGAGAUAUGCCGAUUGCUUCGCCUGGGAUUACACAGAGAUGCCUGGGCUGGAUAGGAGUAUAGUUGAGCAUCGGUUCCCUCUUAAGAGCGGAUUUUGACCAUUCCAACAGCGGGCACGGCAGAUGAAAGCCGAAGUCCUGGUUGAAGUAAAGAAAGAAGUAGAAAAAAUGUUAGAAGCUGGAUUUAUCAGGACUUGCAGAUACGCUGAAUGGAUCUCCAGCGUUGUGCCCGUACAGAAGAAGGAUGGCCGAUGGCGGGUGUGCGUGGAUUUCAGGGAUCUCAAUAGAGCCACUCCGAAGGACGAAUACCCAAUGCCUAUUGCAGAGACAUUGAUCAAUGCUGCUGCCGGCCAUAAGAUCUUAAGUUUCAUGGAUGGUAAUGCAGGUUACAAUCAGAUUUUCAUGGCCCCUGAAGAUAUACACAAAACUGCAUUCAGAGUGCCCGGAGCGGUGGGCCUGUUCGAGUAUGUGGUUAUGACCUUCUGUUGUCGGUCAAAACCCGCCGGCGGGCAGCGACAGGCAACACGAGGAGCCGGGAGGCUUCCGGGACGGCUGGUGGGCCCCGGUCCCUCGGUCAACGGCCCAGUGAUCUGGCGCGCGCCCUAGCUGAGAAUCGCUAGGCGUGCCACCUGAUCCUACACCCCAUCAGGAAGGUGUGACGUGUCGAACUCCUGCAUACACAGACAUGUGUAAAAGUUAAUCCGAGCCGUGAUCGGCUCAUUACCUCCUCCCCGGUAUCGGCUAUGAAGAGCCGAUUGCGUCAAUACCGGAUCGGAUCUUUGGAACAGGCAAUAUAGAAACUGGUACGUACAUAUAUAUUUAAAUAAAACUCGCCUCAUAAAUAACAAUCUAAUCCAAUCCACAACAACUAAGCCCUCACUGCACGAUCGGAACAUCCUACACGUAAUUGAGCCUAAUAGAUACACAAAAGCAUCGACAAGACGAUCUAAACAGAGAGCAAGAGAACAACUAAAAGCCGAUUCCCGAACAACCUCUAUUCAGGCAAAAAGCCGAUACAGAGCAUUCUAUCGGAUCAUUCAACUCGUUUGCAAGGCCUAAUCGUGCACAUAUUGAACCAAGCUUCUAAAUACAUAGAAACCAGCCAUAACAGAUUGGAUCUACUGACAACUACGAAACGAGAUAAAACCAUCAUACCCACGAACGGGUACGAUGAUCAAACAUGCGAGAGCAACGCAUAAAGCACAAUGAAAGCACCAAAAGAAAAGAUUACUCAACGCAUGCCAGGAUAAAUAACGCUACUCGCCAUCUACAAGGCUUCAGCACGAGCAACGUAUAAGCGAACGAGCAAGGGUGACGCUACCCCGAUCACGCAAGACGUGAUCGGGGUCGCGUGGCACUUACCCGAUGAAAAACCCUAAAACAGGGGAGGCGAUACGCCGAGAGUUGAUGAUGAUUGAUUCUGUUUCUUGUUUAUUCAUAGUACAUAUUUAUAGUCCGUAGACUUGUUCUCUUUAACUAACCCUAACCUAACACGACACGAAUCUUAACUGUUUAUUCCUAAUUUACACGGCCUUAUGGCCUCCAUCUUCCACACGGGCCCGAUUCGCAAGCUUUGUCACGACCGCCUUCCAAGCCCAUCUUGCUCCGUGGCCCACUUCUGACCUGGUCAAAAUACGGUGAUAACACAUGCCCCCCUGGUUUCGGUAAUGGAAAUUCCGAAAUCACCACUACCUUGACCCUUCGUCUUCCGAUCCGUACGACCGUGCCCUUUCGGCUCCCGAUGGACGUGACUGCUCUGCAUCGGCCUCCUGGGGAACCGUUACGGUGCCGAUUCAUUUCAUCCACUCGUUGGCUUUAUAAACUUGUUUCCAGCACCUUUUUACCCACUUUCUCUCACAACCAUCGCCGACUCCCUUUCUUCCUUCGCCAUGGCCUCUUCUUCCUCUGCUUCCUCUGUUAUCUCUUACGAGUCCGGAACAACACGAGAACCUACUCCAGAAUAUGACCCAAUCGCUGCUUAUGAGGUCCGUUCCCCCCUGCAUUGGGACGCAGUGGGGUGGGACUUCGACUACCAGUCUGAAGACGACGACUCUCUGACUGACGGCGAGGAUCUCACUCUCCUCCUCGGAGCCGAGCUGGAGGAAGAGGAAGAUGAUGUCCUUUGGGGAGAAGACCUUUCUUUCUCAGAGGAAGAAUCCGACUCCUUCUCCUCCGAAGAAGAUCCGAUGGCAGGUAACUUUCUCUUUGACAGGUCAUCGGACGACACUUCCGAUAGCCGCGGAGGAACCGACGAUGAUGACGGCUUCACUAGUGGCAGCGAUGGGAACGAUGCUGACGAUGAUGGCCGCGACGGUAGCAGCAGCAGCGGCGCCAGCAUUGCUCCACCGUCCAAGCGCCGCAAAGCCUCUGAUGUGCACUGGUGGUAGAUUGUAGUCCCCCCGUUAGGUUAUCUCCAGGAGUAGUUAGCUCCCUUUUGUUCUUACUGCCUUGUUAUGAAUACACUCUGCUUUUGUAUUAAUCCCUCUUAUUAUGCACAACAAUUUAUUCAAGAGCCGAUGGCAUCGCAUCGGCUUUAGAGUAUACCACCCCGGAUCUGAAACCGCUCUUCAAUUUACUUUACCUUCUGCCAAUCAAUCCAGCACAAACCUCUAUAGGUCGAUUCCGAUCCCCUUUUUCGCUCGCAAACCCUAGCGCAAGAUCUUCCCUAGUCCUUGAGACACACACUCGAUCUUGCGCCACCAACCCUAGAUUCAUUCUCCAAGGUUUUGAUCCAAAUUUUCUGAUGGCAGGAUCUUCGCGUACCGCCGCCGCCGCCUUUGGUCUGAAGGUAAACUCCGACCCCCAUUAAUCUAACACUGCGUCCGCACAUUUCUUACUGCGCAGUUAAAUGACUUUUCCCCCGGCGAUCUUGACUUUUUUUGGGGUUUUUUCAGGCUUCCGAUAUCUUCCUGCCACAUCCUUCUUCCCCCGAUUCCUUUGCCUUGGACCUCGCUCCUAUGAGAAACCCGUAGAUCUGAUCUCGUGUGAGGCCAACCGGAUCCCCUUUGUGAGCCAGAUGUAGACCUAGAAUCUUGGUCGGAUAGCCUCCGCGCCUGGCCAAACCCUCCUGAAGGCUGGAUGGCUUGGUAUAAUAGGGUAGCGAACACCUAUCAGCCCUUAUGGGAAUCAAUUGGAAUAGCCGAUCCCUUGUCUUUGUCACUCUCCCCUCUUGAGAAAGAUGAAAACCUUCUGAAGACCAUCGGCUAUUUCUGGUCUGAUGCCUUGAAUUGUUUCCUCUUUGGGCAUAGCCCAUUAGCACCAACACUGUUAAUGUUGUGAUGAUUACUGGCCUGAACAUAUCUUCAGCCUGUCCUUCUGCUUACAGUCUCCAUGUGGUCCCUUACAAAUUGUCUUCAAAAACUGAAUGCACUAACUGGAGCACAUACCUGAGCCAACACCAGAAAAGCAAAGGCCCUGUGUCGGAAAAGGAGCAUACGGCCUUCCUGAACUUAUGGCUUGAACACUUCCUCUUCUGUGGCCCUUCCCUUGCCCCGACCAAAAACUAUCUUUCCUUGGCUUAUGAAUUGGCCAAGGGUCAACCCAUUGGCCUCGGCAGACUAUUUCUGGGGGAACUCUACCGUUAUCUUCAUCUGAUGACUUCCAGCCUCCUUACCCAGAAGAAGAUUAGAACUGGUGGCCCAUGGUGGUUCAUUCAGUUGUGGGCUCAUCUUUACUUCCACAAUUCUGAUCCUGAUUUCCCUUCUUUGGUCGGUAAUUCCUUCCCUGAUCUGAGCGGGAGACAAAUUAGAUGUACUAGCUUUGGGCAGGCCCUAUACAGUCUCCCUGGCGGGAAACUGAAUCCCCCAGAUGCUUCCCGUUGGUUCAAGAUUUUUUACAAAGGCCUCGAUAACCCAGACUUCCUUCCUUAUGCCGACUCUGAGCUCUUUGAGAACCCAGCUACCUUCCGUUUGGCUGAUAUUGCCGAUGAUGCUGACACCAGGCAUCUUUAUUCCAUCAUGGUUCGGCCUUGCCUUCUCCCAGUCGGCAUGAGCACCUCUAACCGGAUUCUUAAACCCGGUUAUGAGUUUUACCAGCCGGUCGUAGCAGCCCGUCAAUUUGGCCUUGCGCAGGUGCCUCCCCACUUCCUUCUCCAUCUGCUAACAUCCAGCAGGGUGGACCUCCCCGAUGCUCUGACCGCCCAGAGGUGCUACAGUCUGUUCGCAGACCUUCCCCUGUCUGUCCUGCCAACUUCACCUUCACCUCCUCGGCUGUUGACUUCGAUGGAUGGUGGACGAUGUGGAAAACUCAUGUUUUCCGAGGAGCCCUGGGUCCGAUGCUUCAACAGAUCGACCCUGAAUAUGACAUCCCGAUGGAGAGGUACCCCCUUUCUGGACUAGCAUUCUUUCUUUAAAUUGUAUUGGAUCCCUCCUGAGUCCACCUUACGGCUGCAGCAAGAAGAUGGCCCAGAGCCAAUAAACGAAGAUGGAUCCCCUUUUGCUUCGGGGCGGUCGCUCCCGUGGUUCUUUUUGGCAGGAACGCACCCCCUCCCUCGAAGAGUGUAAUGCAGAUCCAGCCGAGUACCGCCAAGUUGACCCCCAAGCGGAAACGGCUUUCUGAGGCUGCUGCCCCCCGUGUCUGUGCUAAGACGAGGAAGACCCUUGUCAGAAAGGUCCGGAAGGAAACUGCGCUGUCUUCUCCUAAUCCACCACUUCCAGUCGCCGACCAGGUUUGGCCCCUCUUCCCGCUUCGCAAUCGGGUUUUGUUCAUCCCCCUUCUAGUGACACUCUCUUUUCCUGCAGCCUGCUGUUAUAGAAGUCUCCAGCGGGGAGGAGCGCCCAUGUCAGAAAGGUUCGUCUGUGGAGACGCCGGAGGGCGUGGACGUACCCAUCAGGGCCCUGAUCACCCUUUGCAAUCCUGGUGUGACAGACUCGGGAGGCCCUUCUGCAUCGGCUGCUGCCUCAACUGCUCCGCUGGGUCUGCAGGUCAUUGACUCCUGUCUGGAAGGGCCCUUCCCCGCCUCGGCUAUUGCUGAUUCCCCUGCACGAGAGGUACGCCCCAACGGAGCCGAUCGCCGUUUCAUCGGCUGUUGCUGAUUCCCCCGUACGAGAGGUACGCCCAACGGAGCCGAUCGCCAUUUCAUCGGCUGCUGCUUCUGUAAAGCCGACUGCUGCUCCAUCGGCUGCCGCUCCUCCCUCUGGAGGUGCAAUCCAUGCGGCCUCUACCGCCACCGCUCAUUCCUCGGGAGGGACACCUUCCCGGGAGCCGAUCACCCCUUCGUUGGCCAUCGCUGCUUCCUCCUCGAGACAGGUAUAUCUUCUCUUUGUAACUAUUUUGGUCUUUUUCGUAAUGCCUGUCUCACUCUCUUCUCCUUCAGAACCUGGAUCUUUCAGAGCUCCUUGCGUUUGACCCUGCCACGAUUGGGUCAACCAUACUGGAGGCCGAUGAUUCUUCCUCAGGCCCAACCAGCGCUGCCGAUCAACUUCUCCGUGUGAAGGAUCUUCUGUCGGGCCCUAUCUCUGCUUUGAUCCAGGAUUCUAGUGCGAUCAAGCAGAUCCUCGACGAGAUUAGCUCCCAGCUCCCUGUCAGCCUCCAGGUCAAGCUUUUGACAGCAGGGUACCUUUCUUCCUUUCAAGCGAAAGUAGCAGAGGCUCGCCGCAGGAUCGAGACCCGGCGUUCCCAAUCGCUCUUGAGGACCAUUAUCGCCGAAAUGUGUCAGUCGAUCAACAAGAAGAAAGCCGCACUCGAUGCCAAGAUCGAUACAUCUGCUUCCGCCCAUCGGCUCCACCUCUUGGAGAAAGAAUUGGAAGACCUUGAAGCUAGGGUCCAGGCCACCAAACAGCGCAUCCAAGAGGAGAAGAAUCUCAUCGCGGGUUCCAAGCAGGAGGCAGAAAUCCUAACCACUGAACUGAAGACGGACUUGGCCCAGCUGAACAGCUUGAACAAACAGGUGGUGCCGGGGCAGACAAAGAGGACGAAGCAGUGCUUGAUGAGGUUGACCACAUCCGUCUUGAUGCUAUCGCCGCUAUCGACGCCUUCCUUCUGCAGCCCUGUCCGAGAUAAACUUUGUGUUUAUGUGGUAAACCUGUGGUGUUUUUAUGUAGCGAAUCUAAAGUCGAUGGUGGCACAUCGGCUGUUUGGUAACCUGUGACGCCUGAUUACCAUAAGCACAAUUCUAGAGCCGGUGGCACCGCAUCGGCUGUUCUAAUCUGAUCGGGUCGAUCAAUACUUGUUGUUCUUUCUUCGUCUCCUAUACUUGGCUUACUGGUCGCAUCGGCUUGUGGCCUGAUGGGUAUCAUCGGCUUCAUUGUUCAUUAGCCCACAUACUUGGGAAGUACCUCUUAAGGUGUUGGCCAUUGACUGCUACUGGGAACUUAACGCCGUCCAAUUCUUCUAGCAUGUACGCAUUCCCUGGUAAGACCUGGUCGACCUUGUACGGCCCAUGCCAAUUUGGAGACCAUUUGCCAUAAGCCGCGUCUUUAGUUCCCAAUGGCAAUACUGCUUCCCAAACCAAAUCUCCCACCUGAAACUCCUUCGGCUUAACCUUUUUAUUAUAUGCACGGGCCACUUUAGCCUUAUUUUCCUUGAUUUUCUCUAGGGACCAUAGUCUGAGUUCCGUGAGAUCUUCCACAUUGUCGCUCAUCAGGGUAGCAUACUCUUCAGCGGACAAAUCAUUCUGGAAUUCUACACGCCUUGAUCCGGCCGUAACCUCCCACGGCAACACGGCCUCCUGCCCGUAGACCAAGUGGUAAGGAGAAGUUUUUGUCGCUCCGUGACAUGAUAUGCGGUACGCCCAAAGUGCUUCUGAUAGGACCUCGUGCCAACGUCUAGGGUACUCAUCAAUCUUCCUUUUGAUCAACUUGAUAAGACUCUGGUUGGACGCUUCGGCCUGUCCAUUUGCCUGAGCAUAAUAUGGAGAUGAUCUAAUCAGCUUGAUUCCCAUAUCAGCAGCAAACUUCUUGAAUUCUUCUGAAAUGAAAAUCGAGCCACCAUCCGUUGUAAUAGUCUGUGGAAUUCCAAAUCUGUGAAUGACGUGCUCCUUGACAAACUGAAUAACGUCCCUGGACGUCACUGACUUCAUCGGAACCGCUUCCACCCAUUUGGUAAAAUAAUCUGUGAUAGCUAGGAUGAACUGAUGACCCUUGCUAGAUGGGGGAUUAAUUUUGCCGAUCAUGUCCAUACCCCAGCCUCUGAACGGCCAUGGUUUAAUGAUGGGGUUCAUAACGGACGCUGGUACCAUCUGGAUUUUUCCAAACCUCUGACAUGCCUGACACCCUUUAUAGUAUUUAAAACAAUCUUCAAGCAUGGUGGGCCAGUAAUAUCCUGAUCGCCUAAUUAGCCAUUUCAUUUUGUGUGCCGAUUGAUGGGUCCCACACGUUCCUUCAUGAACUUCAUGCAGGAGCCGAUUGGACUCCACUGGCCCCAAACACUUAAGCAGUAACCCCUCUAAGGUCCUGUAGAACAUAUCAUCCCCUAUGAGAACAUACUUCAUAGCUUUGUAUCGUAUCCUCUUGGGUGCCCCCCGAGCCGAAUCCUUCAAGUAAUUGAAGAUAUCGGCUCUCCAAUCUCCCUGGUCCAGAAAGUAUACCUGAUGAACUGACCCAUCGGCUUUGUACCCUGAAGCCAACUGUGCUAGAUCAUUGGCUUCGGCGUUCCGAGCCCUGGGUAUCCAAUAAAAAUUAAUGUACCUGAACUGGGCUAUCAGCUCCUGGCAUUGGACCCACAUUGGGAACAGCAGCUCGCUUUCGCACCUGUAUUCUUCUGUAAGCUGGGAAACUACCAAUUUUGAAUCCCCAAAAACUUCCACUGCUUCAGCUCCGGCCUCUAAAAGCAAUUCCAUACCUUUUCGUACCGCCUCAUAUUCUGCAAGAUUGUUGGUACAGGCGACAGGUAAUCUGAUCGAAAAAGAAUACGUUGCCCCCCGAGGCGAUACCAGUAAGACGCCGAUGCCGCAUCCAUCCCCACAAACUGAUCCGUCGAAGUACAUGGCCCAGGCUCGUAUAGACAGUGCUGCGAUAUUGGUGUUAACCCUCUCGGCGAUAAGAUCCGCUAACGCCUGCCCUUUAACUGCUUUUGCAGGUUGAUAUCGGAUAUCAAAUUCUGAUAACGCGAACAUCCACUUCCCCAAUCGGCCUUUCAAAACAGGAGCCGAUAACAUAUGUUUUAUGACAUCCGAUUUGCAGAUGACGACCACUUCAGCCGAUAGCAGGAUAUGGCGAAGCUUGGUGCAUGUAAAGAAUAAACAUAAACAAAGUUUUUCCAUGUCGGGGUACCUUGUUUCCGCAUCCAACAAUCUUCUGCUGAGAUAAAAGACCACCUUUUCUUUGCCAUCAUACAAUUGUACCACCACUGAAGCAAUAGAAGUGUUGCCCAUUGAUAGAUAUAUAUAAAACGGUCUAUCCUGUUGUGGUGGCACCAGCACAGGCGGAUUCGACAAAUAUUCUUUGAUUUCUUCAAAUGCCCGCUGUUGGUCUGCCCCCCAGCGGAACUCGUCAGUCGUUCUAGUCUUGACUAACUCCAUAAAAGGCUCGAUCCAUCCAGACAAAUUAGAAAUAAAUCUCCUGACAAAGUUAAUCUUACCAAUGAGCUGCUGGAGCUCUUUCUUGGUGGUGGGUGGCACCAUGGUGCGUACGGCUUCCUGACUUUUUAGGCCAAUCUCUAUCCCUCUUUCAUGAACUAGAAAUCCCAGGAACUGCCCAGCCGACACACCAAAAGCACACUUCUUUGGGUUCAUCCGGAGCCCGAACUUUCUAGUUCGUUCCAGAACCCGCCGCAGGUCGUCUAAAUGUCCCUCGACCGAUGCUGACUUUACCACAACGUCGUCGAUAUAAAUUUCUACUAGAUUACCGAUCAGAUCAUGGAAAAUAUGGUUCAUAGCCCGCUGAUAUGUAGCACCAGCAUUCUUCAAGCCGAAAGUCAUAACCACGUACUCGAACAAGCCCACUGCUCCAGGCACUCUGAACGCAGUUUUGUGUAUAUCUUCAGAGGCCAUGAAGAUUUGAUUAUAUCCUGCAUUACCAUCCAUAAAACUCAAAAUCUUGUGGCCGGCGGCAGCGUUGAUUAGUGUUUCUGCAAUGGGCAUCGGGUAUUCGUCUUUUGGAGUGGCCCUAUUAAGAUCCCUGAAGUCCACGCACACCCUCCAUCGGCCAUCUUUCUUCUGUACGGGCACGAUGCUCGAAAUCCAUUCGGCGUACCUGCAAGUCCUGAUAAAUCCAGCUUCCAGCAUCUUUUCUAUUUCUUUCUUCACCUCGACCAGAACUUCGGCUUUCAUCUGUCGUGCUCGUUGCUGGAACGGUCGAAACCCACUCUUGAGGGGAAGCCGAUGCUCUACUAUUUUCCUAUCUAGUCCAGGCAUCUCUGUGUAAUCCCAUGCGAAGCAAUCGGCAUAUCCCUUUAGCAAUGCUAUCAUCGGCUCUCGUAGUGCUGGGUGUAACUUCCUACUUAUGAAUGUUGGUCGUGGCUUAUCCCCCGGACCGAUGUCUAUCUCCUCAAGUUCAUCAGCCGAUGUGAAACCAUAUCCUAACUUCCCUUCUUCUUCCAUUAGAUCAACAUUGCAAAUGGAGAAAGGACACAGCAUAAAAAAACUCGGCCGAUCGUUAAGAUCGGCCGUUCCACACAUCCCCUUACUUUCCAAGUUUUUGUAAGAAGAACAGGGCCGGCUGUUAAUGCUGGCCAUUUUAUAACGCCUACGAAACACAUUUAUAUUUACAACUUCGUUCCUUCGGGGCCGAUUGCAAGAACCGGCCUUUAUGACUCCGCUACCACAUGUUGCCUCCUGUUCCUUUACUCUGUGAGGCCGGUGGAUAAGACCAGCCUUACUCCGUUUUUUGUAGCUUCGAUGCGAUCACACCCUUCCAGGCUCAUUCCUGAAAUCGGCUCUUGAUCUUCCGCAUCCCAAAUGCUCAUGGCCGCAUGUGAAAUUUCGAUCGAGUCGUCUGCCUGGACUACUUCCACCUCGUCUCCGUCCCAUUGGAUCAAACAUUGAUGCAUCGUGGAAGGGAUGCAACAGUUGGUGUGGAUCCAAUCCCUGCCAAGUAAAACAUUGUAGGUGCUCUUGCUGUUGACGACGAAGAGCGAGGUCGGGACAGUUUUGUUUCCGACGGUGAGAUCCACACUAAGGACACCUUGGGCUUCUGAAGUCUGGCCGUUAAAAUCACUUAGGGUGACAUUGGUCUUGAUCAAGUCUGCGGUGGAUCGCCCCAAACGGCGCAGGACUGAGUAUGGCAUAAUGUUGACCGCCGCUCCCGUAUCCACCAACAUCUUAUUUACAGGCUGACCGUUAAUAAACCCCUUAAGAUAUAAAGCUUUCAGGUGUUUGUAAUUCUUAGCUUGCGGCUUCUCGAAUAUCACUGGCCGAGGUCCCAAAUCAAGUUGGGCCACCGAUGGCUCCUCCUGGGGCCUCGCAUGGAACUCUGCAGGAAGCACAAAAACCAUGUGUGCAUCAGCCGAUACCUUCUUAUCGGCUUUCGUUGACUUGGGUCGCCAUUCCUUCCUGGGCGGGCGCGACUCCUUUUCCUGCACAUAGUGAACUUGUUCUGCCAAAUCUGGUCGUGCCUUCCUUAAAGUCUCGAUGUACUUAGCUUCGGCCUCCUCCAAGCUACGCAGCCGUUGAACCCUGCGCUUCUGGGAACGACUAAGUCCAUCGGGACACCAACGAGGACGAUGAUACCUGUCCUCUUCUUCAUCUUCCUUUUGUGAUGACCGAACCCGCGCUUGCCGGAGUGGGGCAGGUCCUAUCCGCUGAAAAACCGAAUCCCUUGCUUCUGGUCUCCUUGGUCCACACUCUGGGCAAUCCUUGAUUGUAGGCAAUCGGCUCAUACCUGAAUCCCAACAGUACCUGAAGAACGGGCAGUGCCAAUGAUCGCGGGCUUCUUCGUGCUUCCUCAAACGCUUCCCGGUCCGGCGCUCAUACUCCUCUUCCUCAGAUUCCCGAUGGAGGCGCUGCUAGAACUGGUGCUCGUACUUCCUGAGAAGAUCAGAAGAAGUUGGCCGUUGGUUCCUUACGUACCUUACUUGCCUUUCUGUAAUAUAUUCACCCUUUUCAUUUUGGGGCCGAUCGCUCGAAUCAGCCUCUCCAUCUUCGAUCUGGCGGCGUGAUGCCACCCCCGCCAUGUUGAUGCCCAGUGCGAAAUUGAGUUGUCGCCUUGCCGUCCGAUCGUUGCUUUCCACCAUAUUGACACCAGGGAACGGCUGAGUGUUGACUUUCAUAGCGGUCUGUCCCAAGAUCAAUCGGCCCUGCUCAAUAGCCGAUUGGAUCUGCCGACGAAGCUCCUUACAAUCGCUUGUGCUGUGGGUGAAGGAAUCAUGCCAUUUGCAAUAUGAUCUUCCUUUCAAAUCUUGCGCCGUAGGGGGUUUGUAACCUUCUGGGAAUUUCAACUGUUUUUCUUUCAGCAAUAAAUCAAAAAUUUGUUCCACUUUACUUACAUCGAAAUCAAACCCCUUUGCCGGUCCUGUUUGCUUUACCCACUUGCACGAUACGGGAUUCGCACCACGAGCCCAUUCCGCAACCGAUACUUCCGCUUCUUCCUCGGAGUCAUCGGCUUCUUCAGUGUCAGCUAACGCUACUUGGCGCUUGAACUUUUCCUGGUACAGCUCAGGGUGACGCUGCUCGUACAUCGUCAACUUCUGGACCAGAUGUGCCAGCGAAGUAAAUUCCAAUUGAAAAGCCAGAUCUCGAAUCGGCUUCAACAACCCUAGAGAUGCCAAUUCCACAGCUUCCUUUUCUGGGAUCCGUGUUGAAUAACACCUAUUUUUCAUCUCCCUGAAGCGUCGAACGAAUUCCGCCACAGUUUCUCCACGCUUCUGUCGCAUUUGGGCCAGAUCGGCAAUCCCUGCGUCUGCAGCUUCUGAGUGAUACUGAAUAUGAAAUUGUUCUUCCAAUUGUUUCCACGUACGGAUGGAGUCAGGACCCAAUGACGUGUACCACCCGAAAGCCGAUCCCGUAAGCGAUUGCGAGAAGAACCUUACUCGUAGCGGAUCCGACACAGAAAUCAUUCCUAACUGUGCCAAAUAUCGGCUCACGUGUUCGAUAGAACUAGCACCUUCUGCCCCACUGAAUUUGGUAAACUCGGGGAGCCGAUAUUUGGGUGGCAAUGGAAUUAGGUCAUAAUCACUCGGAUACGGCUUUGUAUAGCCGAUCGCUCUCCUUUUCGGCAAAAUGCCAAACUGAUCCCUUAGGAUGGCACCAAUCUGCUCCGCUGUUUGUAAUCCGGGGGCCGAGUGCACACUAUCAUGACUCGGCCCUGUGGCAUAAGUUGCUAACCAAGCUUGCUUAUCCGCGUCAGCUCCAGGGACCCCUCCAGCUACUUUCUGUGAGAGAUGUAUUGGGUUACUGCUAUCCGGGAUGUAUGCGCACAUGUAACCAUGUGGGAUUUCCUUGGGCGGCUCACUGAAGAACUGGUGGUCUGUAGGAUCACCUCCCACUUUGUAAACCACGUAAGCUGGAGCACCAUGCGAUUCCGCUGCUGCAAGCGCAUAAGGCAAAGGAGGUCUAGUCUGGAAUGGCAAUUCUCCCUUAUGGCUCCCCAGAGCAGGCCCAGUCGGAGAAUGUUGAUGCUUCAUUAUUUCCUGGACCACCCGUAAAGCCACACGCUCAAAAGCAUUAACCAGACUUUCAGAAUGCCGGUGCAACGAAUGAGCCACCGCAUAAUUCACCUCCUGCCGCAAAGCUCUGGUACGAUCCUCGGACGGGGUAGACAGAUCCACUCCAUCAAGAGCACCUUCAGGUGAAAAACCUCUCCACCUGAUACCAUGGUUGCGAGUUCUUUCGAAAGAGCCGAUGAGAUCGGCUUCAAACUGAGCCUUGAUUUCGUCGUACCUCUGCUUAUGCUCAGCAGAGAGCUCCUCAUAAGAGAUCGGAUCCUCCCUUGCCAUCUUGUUGACCACCAGUGACGGAGUCGACGAAGAUGACGGAGUCGAUGAAGAAGAUGCCGAAGAUGAUGACGAAGUCGAUGAAGAAUGUCCCACUGGGCGUGCCAGAAUGUGUUGUCGGUCAAAACCCGCCGGCGGGCAGCGACAGGCAACACGAGGAGCCGGGAGGCUUCCGGGACGGCUGGUGGGCCCCGGUCCCUCGGUCAACGGCCCAGUGAUCUGGCGCGCGCCCUGGCUGAGAAUCGCUAGGCGUGCCACCUGAUCCUACACCCGAUCAGGAAGGUGUGACGUGUCGAACUCCUGCAUACACAGACAUGUGUAAAAGUUAAUCCGAGCCGUGAUCGGCUCAUUACCUCCUCCCCGGUAUCGGCUAUGAAGAGCCGAUUGCGUCAAUACCGGAUCGGAUCUUUGGAACAGGCAAUAUAGAAAUUGGUACGUACAUAUAUAUUUAAAUAAAACUCGCCUCAUAAAUAACAAUCUAAUCCAAUCCACAACAACUAAGCCCUCACUGCACGAUCGGAACAUCCUACACGUAAUUGAGCCUAAUAGAUACACAAAAGCAUCGACAAGACGAUCUAAACAGAGAGCAAGAGAACAACUAAAAGCCGAUUCCCGAACAACCUCUAUUCAGGCAAAAAGCCGAUACAGAGCAUUCUAUCGGAUCAUUCAACUCGUUUGCAAGGCCUAAUCGUGCACAUAUUGAACCAAGCUUCUAAAUACAUAGAAACCAGCCAUAACAGAUUGGAUCUACUGACAACUACGAAACGAGAUAAAACCAUCAUACCCACGAACGGGUACGAUGAUCAAACAUGCGAGAGCAACGCAUAAAGCACAAUGAAAGCACCAAAAGAAAAGAUUACUCAACGCAUGCCAGGAUAAAUAACGCUACUCGCCAUCUACAAGGCUUCAGCACGAGCAACGUAUAAGCGAACGAGCAAGGGUGACGCUACCCCGAUCACGCAAGACGUGAUCGGGGUCGCGUGGCACUUACCCGAUGAAAAACCCUAAAACAGGGGAGGCGAUACGCCGAGAGUUGAUGAUGAUUGAUUCUGUUUCUUGUUUAUUCAUAGUACAUAUUUAUAGUCCGUAGACUUGUUCUCUUUAACUAACCCUAACCUAACACGACACGAAUCUUAACUGUUUAUUCCUAAUUUACACGGCCUUAUGGCCUCCAUCUUCCACACGGGCCCGAUUCGCAAGCUUUGUCACGACCGCCUUCCAAGCCCAUCUUGCUCCGUGGCCCACUUCUGACCUAGUCAAAAUACGGUGAUAACACCUUCGGCUUGAAAAAUGCUGGCACUACGUAUCAGCGUGCCAUGAACCACAUUUUCCAUGAUUUGAUCGGCAAUCUGGUGGAGAUUUAUAUCGAUGACGUUGUGGUAAAGUCAGCAUCGGUCGAGGGACAUCUAGAUGAUCUACGGCAGGUUCUGGAACGAACUAGAAAGUUCGGGCCCAGGAUGAAUCCAAAGAAGUGCGCUUUUGGUGUCAGCCGGGCAGUUCUUGGGUUUUCUGGUUCAUGAAAGAGGAAUAGAGAUCGGCCUAAAAAGUCAGGAAGCCGUACGCACUAUGGUAUCACCUACCACCAAGAAGGAGCUCCAGCAACUUAUUGGUAAGAUUAACUUCGUCAGGAGGUUUAUUUCUAAUCUAUCUGGGCGAAUUGAACCCUUUAUGGAGUUAGUGAAAACCAAAACCAACGACGAGUUCCGCUGGGGGGCAGAACAGCAGCAGGCAUUCAAAGAAAUCAAAGAAUAUUUGUCGAGACCGCCUGUGUUGGUGCCACCACAAUAGGAUAGGCCAUUUUACAUAUAUUUGUCAAUUGGCGACACCUCUAUUGCUUCAGUGGUAGUACAAUUAUAUGAUGGCAAGGAGAGGGUGGUAUUUUAUCUCAGCAGGAGAAUGUUGAAAGCAAAGACAAGGUACCCCGAUAUGGAGAAACUUUGUCUUUGUUUAUUUUUUACGUGCACCAAGCUUCGCUAUAUCCUGCUAUCGGCUUAGGUAAUCAUCAUUUGCAAAUCGGAUGUCAUAAAACACAUGCUAUCGGCUCCUGUAUUGAAAGGCCGAUUGGGAAAAUGGAUGUUUUCAUUAUCAGAGUUUGAUAUCCGAUAUCAACCCGCAAAGGCAGUUAAAGGGCAGGCGUUAGCGGAUCUCAUUGCUGAGAGGGUCAAUACCAAUAUAGCAGCACUUUCUGUACGAGCCUGGGUUAUGUACUUCGACGGAUCAGUUUGUGGAGACGGAUGUGGCAUCGGCAUCUUACUGGUAUCGCCUCGGGGGGCAACGUAUUCUUUCUCGAUCAGGUUACUUGCUACCUGUACCAACAACCUUGCAGAAUAUGAGGUGGUGCAUAAAGGCAUGGAAUUGCUUCUGGAGGCCGGAGCUGAAGCAGUGGAAGUCUUCGGGGAUUCAAAAUUGGUAAUCUCCCAACUUACAGAAGAAUACAGGUGCGAAAGUGAACUGCUAUUCCCGUUGUGGGUUCAAUGCCAGGAGCUAAUGGCCUAGUUCAGGUAUAUAAAUUUUUAUUGGAUACCUAGGGCUUGGAAUGCAGAGGCCAAUGAUCUAGCGCAACUGGCUUCAGGGUACAAAACCGAUGGGUCAAAUCAUCAGGUGUACUUACUGGACCAGGGAGAUUGGAGAGCCAAUAUCUUCAAUUACUUGAAGGAUUCGGCUCGGGGGGCACCCAGGAGGAUACGGUACAAAGCCAUGAGGUAUGUUCUGAUAGGGGAUGAUAUGUUUUACAGGACCUUGGAAGGAUUAUUGCUUAAGUGUUUGGGGCCGGUCGAAUCCAAUCGGCUCCUGCAUGAAGUUCAUGAGGGAACGUGUGGGACUCAUCAAUCGGCUCACAAGAUGAAGUGGCUAAUUAGGCGAUCAGGGUACUACUGGCCCACCAUACUUGAAGAUUGUUUUAAGUAUUAUAAAGGGUGUCAAGCAUGUCAGAGGUUCGGAAAGAUCCAGAUGGUGCCAGCAUCCGUGAUGAACCCCAUCGUUAAACCAUGGCCGUUCAGAUGCUGGGGUAUGGAUAUGAUCAGCAAAAUCAAUCCUCCAUCUAGCAAGGGUCAUCAGUUCAUUUUGGCUAUCACAGAUUAUUUCACCAAAUGGGUGGAAGCGGUCCCAAUGAAAUCGGUGGCAUCUAAGGAUGUUAUUCAGUUCGUCAAGGAACAUGUCAUUCACAGAUUUGGGAUCCCACAGACCAUUACAACAGAUAGUGGUUCGGUUUUUAUUUCAGAAGAAUUCAAGAAGUUUGCCGCUGAUAUGGGUAUCAAGCUGAUUAGAUCGUCCCCAUAUUAUGCUCAGGCAAAUGGUCAGGCCGAAGCGUCCAAUCAGAGCCUUAUCAAGUUGAUCAAGAGGAAGAUUGAUGAAUACCCCAGACGCUGGCACAAGGUCCUGUCAGAAGCACUGUGGGCAUACCGUAUAUCCUGUCAUGGGGUGACAAAGACUUCCCCUUAUCAUCUUGUCUACGGGCAAGAAGCCGUGUUACCAUGGGAAGUUACGGCCGGGUCAAGGCGUAUAGAAUUCCAGAAUGACUUAUCUACUGAGGAAUAUGCUACUCUGAUGAGUGAUAAUAUGGAGGACCUCACGGAACUCAGGCUAUGGUCGCUAGAGAAGAUCAAGGAGAAUAAGGCUCAGGUAGCCCGUGCAUACAAUAAAAAGGUCAAACCGAAAGAAUUCCAAGUAGGAGACCUGGUCUGGGAAGCAGUAUUACCAUUGGGAACUAAGGACGCGGCAUAUGGCAAUUGGUCCCCAAACUGGCACGGGCUGUACAGGGUUGACCAGGCCCUACCUGGGAAUGCAUACAUGCUUGAAGAAUUGGAUGGCGUCAAGUUUCCAGUGGUGGUUAACGGCCAACAUCUUAAGGAAUACUUCCCAAGUAUGUGGGCCGACGAACAGUAAAGCCGAUGGCACCCAUCAGGCAAUAAGCCGAUAUGACCAGUAAGCUAAGAAAGCUGACACGGGCCAAGCCGAUGGUGUUUUGGCAAGACAAGAAAUAAAAAGGGAGGCCGAUGGAAAUGAUCGGCUCAUACGUUAACAAAAAGCACUAGAACAGCCGGUGUAAACCAUCGACUUUAGGAGUUUUUUGGUAGCAAUCAAUCACAACAAGUUAUCAGAUAGCCAAUGUAUAACCAUCGACUCCAGGGUCACGACAUGAAAAUAUAGAGUUCAUCUUGGACAGGCUUUCUGGAGGAAAUCAUUGAUGGCAGCAAUGGCGUCAAGGCGGAUGCGGUCAACUUCAGUAAUCACCGCUUCAUCUUCUUCGUCCGCCCCCGGCACCACUUGCUUGCUCAAGCCGCUCAGCUCGGCCAGGUCUGCCUUCAGCUCAGCGGUCAAGACCGCUGCCUCCUGUUUGGAACCUGCAAUAAGAUCUUUCUCUUCUUGAAUGCGCUGUUUGGUGGCCCGGACUUUAGCCUCAAGGUCUUCUAGUUCUCUCUCCAGGAGAUGAAGCCGCUGGGCAGAGGCAGAUGUGUCAGCCUUGGCAUCGAGUUCUGCUUUCUUCUUGUUGACUGAUUGGCACAUCUCGGUGAUGAUAGUCCUUAAGAGCGAUUGGGAACGCCGAGUCUCAAUCCGAUGGCGAGCCUCUGCCACUUUUGCUUGGAAGGAAGGGAGGUACCCGGCUGGCAAAAGUUUGACUUGAAGGCUCACAGGGAGCUGGGAGUUGACCUCGUCAAGAAUCUGCUUCACCGCACUGGAAUCCUGGAUCAGGGUGUCGGUCGGACCCGAUAGGAUAUCCUUCAUAUGGAGAAGUCAAUUGGCAAUGCUGGCCAAGCCCAGGGGAGAGUCAUCAGCUUCCAAUAUGGCCGAUCCGAUUGAGGCAGGAUCAAACGCGAGGAGCUCUGAAAGGUCCAGAUUCUGGCGGAAAAGAGGGUGAGUAAGGCAUAGAGGAAAAAGACCGAAGUAAUAAAAAACAAUAAGGCAUACCCGUCCCGAGAGAGAUGUAGUGAUAGCCGAUGAAGGAACGAUCGGCUCCUGAGGGCAUGCCCCUUCCGAAGGCUGAGCAACGACGGUAGAGGCCAGAGGAGCCACGCCUCCAGAAGAGGAAGCAACAACCGAUGAGGUGGCGGUCGGCUCUGCUGGACGUGUCUCUCGUGCAGGGAGAUCGGCAGUAACCGAAGCCAUGGAUGGUCUUUCCAUAGAGAGGCUAACAAGGGACGCAGGCACGACCGGCUCCUGCGGACCUGGCGAAGCAGCCGGGACGUCAGCCGAUGCAGAAGGAUCCGCCGGGAUUGCCGCACCAGGAUCGCGAAGAGUGAUCAAAGCCCUGAUGGGCACGUCCACGUCCUCUGGUACUUCCGAAGAUGAGCCCUUCUGGCAUGGGGGCUCUUCCCCGCUGGAGACGUCCACGAUGGCAGGCUGCAGGGGGAGAGGGUAUAAUUAAAGAAGACAGCCACGAACAGAAGUUCGAUUACGAAGACAGGAGGAAGAUCCGAACCUGGUUAGCAACUGGAAUUUCUGGAUUGGGGGAAGAUGGCGCAGUUUCCUUCCGGACAUUUCUGACCAGGACCUUCCUCAUUUUAGCGUGAGUUCGAGGGGCAACAGCCUUAGAAGAUUGCCUCCGCUUGGGGGUCAGCUUUGCAGUGCUGGGCUGGAUUUGCAUGAUGCUCUUCGAAGGAGGAGGUGCGUUUUUGCCGAAAAGGACCACAGGGGUGAUCGGCGAGAAACGGAAGGGUGAUCCAUCAUCAUUCGUCGGCUCUGGGCCAUCUUCCUGCUGCAGAAAUGAAAGACAAAAUCAGAAAGGGCUCAAGAAGGUCAAAAGUGAAACAUUAGUCGAGAAGCAAUACCUCUUCAGCGGGGAUUUCAUAUUCGGAAUGAACCCGCUGCAGCAUCGGACCCAGAGCUCUUCGGAAAACGUGGAUUUUCCACAUUGACCACCACCCCUCAAAAUCAACAGCCGAAGAAGUGAAGGUCAGAUUGGCAGGGAUAGAUAGGGGAAGAUCUGUAAACAGACCGUAGCACCUCUGGGUGGUCAAGGCAUCAAGAAGAUCUACCCUAUUGGAUGUCAAGAAGUGAAGAAGAAAAUGGGGAGGCACCUGCCCAAGACCAAACUGCCGGGCUGCCACGACCGGCUGGUAGAAUUCAUAACCAGGCUUGAUGAUCCGAUUAGAGGUACUCAUGCCAACUGGAAGAAGGCAAGGCCGAACCAUGAUGGAAUAUAGGCGCCUAGUGUCGGCGUCAUGGGAAAGGUCGGCUAGCCGAAACAUAGGCGGGUUCUCGAAAAGUUCAGAAUCGGCAUAUAGAAGGAAGUUUGGGUUAACUAAGCCUUUGUAGAAAAUCCCGAACCAGCGAGAAGCAUCUGGGGGAUACAAUUUCCCGCCGGGGAGACUGUAUAAAGCCUGCCCAAAACUGGUACACCUAAUCUGUCUCCCACUCAGAUCUGGGAAAGAAUUGCCGACCAAGGAAGGGAAAUUAGGGAUGGAACUUUGGAAAUAAAGGUGAGCCCACAACUGGAUGAACCACCACGGAAUACCAGUUCUGAGUUUCUUCUGUGAAAGAAGGCUCGAAGUCAUCAGAUGAAGGUAUCUGUAAAGUUCCCCAAGAAAUAGUUUACCAAGGCCAACAGGGUGACCUUUGGCCAGCUCGUAAGCCAGGGAGAGGUAAUUCUUGGUUGGGGCAAGGGAAGGGCCACAGAAGAGGAAAUGUUCGAGCCACAGAUUUAGAAAGGCCGUGUGCUCCUUCUCUGAUACAGGACCCUUGCUCUUCUGGUGUUGGCUCAAGUAUGUACUCCAGUUAGUACAUUCUGCCUUGGAAGACAGUUUGAAGGGAAGUACAGAGAGUCUAUAAAUAGAAGGACAAGCUGAUGAUAUGUCUAAGCCAGUGAUCAUCAUGACAUCCAGCAGCGUUGGUGUCAUCGGACCGUGCCCAAAAAGAUAACAAUUCAAAGGAUCAGACCAAAGGUAGCCGAUAGUCUUCAGAAGGUUCUCAUCUUUUUCAAGAGGAGAAAGGGACAGAGACAGGGCAUCGGCUAUCCCGGUGGAUUCCCAUAAGGGCUGGUAGGCAUCCGCCAUUCUGUUAUACCAAACUAUCCAACCUUCAGGAGGAUUUGGCCAAGCACGGAGGCUAUCUGACCAAGAUUCUAGGUCUAUGUCCUGACUCACGAAAGGGAUCCGAUUGGCUUCGGAUGAGAUCAGAUCUACGGGCUUCUCGAAAGAACGAGGCCCGAGGCAGUAAGAAUUGGGGGGAAGAAGGGUGUGGUAAGAAGAUAUCGUAAGCCUGAAAAAACCCCAAGAAAACAAGGUUGCCGAGGAAAGAGUCAUUUAACCACGCAGUAAAUUUCACAGUUGCUGCAUUAAAUUAAUGAGGGUCGAAGUUUACCUUCAGACCGAAGACGGCGGCAGCGGUGUUCGAAGAUUCCGCCAUCGGGAAUCUUGAAUCGAGAUCUUGGAGAGUAGAUCUAGGGUUGGCGGCGCAGGAUCGAGUGUGCAUUUCAAGGAGCAGAGGAGGAUCUUGCGGCUAGGGUUUAUGAGCAAAAGAGUUGCGCAGCCAGCCUGGAUUCCAGAAUCAACGGAGAUUUGCUUUGGAUUUGAGGUCCGACAGAAGGUAAAGCAAAUUGGAAGGUUAUUUUAGGUCCGGAUUGGUAUAUUCUAAGGCUGAUGCGUUGCCAUCGGCUCUUGAGCAGACUGUUAUGCGCAAGAAAAUUAUUGAUACAAAGAGAAUUCCAUUCACAACAAGCAAGUACAAAAGAAGAGCUAACUGCUCUUUGAAACAAACUAAUGGUGGUGCUACAGCCUACCACCAGUACACGCCAGUAGUCUUGCGGCACUUGGUCGGUGGAGCAACACUAGCACCACUAUCAUUGCUACUGUUGCCACUACUGCCAUCAUUCUCACUGCUGGUAUGGGUGAAGCUGUCAUCGUCUUCGGUGUCCUCGGUGUCAUCGGAAGCUUCGUCUGAUGACCUGCUAAAGAGGAAGUUACCUGCCAUCGAGUCUUCGUCGGAGGAAAAGGAAUCGACUUUCUCUUCUGAGGAGGGGAAGUCUUCCCCCCAAGAUGCAUUGUCUUCGUCUUCCUCCAGCUCGGCUCCGAAGAGGAGUGCAAGAUCCUCGCCGUCAGUCAGAGAUUCGUCAUCCUCCGACUGGAAAUGGAAAUCCCAUUCUUCCGCAUCCCAGUGUGGGGGAGCACGGGCUUCGUAAGCAGCUAUCGGAUCAUAUUCUGGAGUGGCUCUCGGGAGGUAUCGGAUUCAAAAGAGAUGACGGAGGAAGCAGAAGAAGAAGAGGCCAUAACAAGAGAGAAGAGAAAAGCGUAAUGGCUAAUGGCUGUGAGAGAAAGAUGAUUGGGGAGAUGCUGGGGGGUAAGUUUAUAAAGGUAAACAGAGAGGUGAAGUGAAUCGGCACCGUGACGGUUCCCUAGGAGAUUGAUACAGAGCAGUCACAUCCAUUGGAAGUCGAAAGGGCGUGGCUGUAUGGAUCGGAAGCCGAAGGGUCGUGGCGAUUUUAAAAUAGGUGAUUUCGGAAUUACCAUUGCCGAAACCAGGGGGGCAUGUGUUAUCGCCAUAAUUUGACCGGGCCAGAAGUGGGCCAUGGAGCAAGAUGGGCUUGGAAGGCAGUUACGAUAAAACUUGCGAAUCAGACCCUGUGCAGGAGAAUGGGGCUAGAAAGGCCGUGUGAUUUGGAUAUAGGCAGUUCAGAUUCGUGUCGUGUUUAGUCUACGGACUAUAAAUAUGUACCAUGAAUAAACAAGAAAGACAGAAUCAUUCAUCAACAACUUUCGGCGCAUCGCCUCCCCUGUUUUAGGGUUUUCAUCGGGUAAGUGCCAUGCGGCCCCGAAGCAUUACCCUUGCUCGUUUGUUCAUAUGUUGCUCGUUCUGAAGCCUUGUAGAUGGCGAGUAGCAUUAGUUAUCCUAGCACGCAUAGAGUAAUUUUAUCCCUUUUGCAUCUUGAUCAUGCUUUGCUCAUUGCUCUUGUGUGCUUAAUCAUCAUGUUCAACAACGAAUGCGAUGGUUGUGUCUUGUUUUGUCUUUAUCAGUAGAUCCAAUCUGUUAAGGCUAGUUUCUGUUUAUUUAGAGGCUUGGUUCGAUAUGUGCAUGAUUAGGCCUUGCAAACGAGUUGAACGUUCCGGCUGUAUGCUUUUGUGUCGGCUUGUAGCUUGAGAGGGGGUUGCUAUAAGAAUCGGCUUUUCCGGUUAUUUAUACAAUCUUGGUUUAAGUCAUAUGAUCUGAUGCUUUUGUAUAUUUGUUAGGCUCAAUCACGUGUAGGAUGUUCCGAUCAUGCUGUGAGGGCUUAGUCGUCGUAGAUUGGAUUAGACUGGUAUUUAUGAAGCAAGAUUUAUUUCAUUAUCGAAUAUAUACAUAUUGCCUGUUCCAAAGAUUCGAUCCGGUAUUGAUGCAAUCGGCUCUUCAUAGCCGAUACCGGGGAGGAGUGGUGAGCCGAUUACGGCUCGGACUAACCUUUACAAGUGUCUGUGCUUACAGGAAUUUAAUACAUCACACCUUCCUGAUUAGGUGCAGGAUCAGGUGGCACGCCUAGCGACUCCAAGCCAAGGUGUGCGCCAGAUCGCUGGGCCGUUGACCGAGGGACCAGGGCCCUCCAGCCGUCCCGGAAGCCUCUCGGCUCCUCGUGUUGCCUGUCGCUGCUCGCUGGUGGGUUUUGACCGACAACAGUUGUGUGCUAUUAUAUAUAUAUGCAAAUCUACCCCAGUAAUAAAUUAGGAGAGCCACCUAAUCUUACCUUAUCCCUCCUUGACCGCAGAUAUCCCGUCGUUCGAGCCAAGUCCAGGGACUCCAUGCUCAGGAAGACGGUGACGAGGUCAACCCGAGAAACCGGCCCCUCUGAAUGUAGCCCCAGAAGCAUCAGAAAAUGGACACCUACCGCCGCCACCUCCCCGUGCCCCAGCACCCAUUGAUCUAGCAGCCAUACUGCAGCAGCAGAACCAACUCCUUCAAGUUCUUCUGACCACUCUCAUAGCUCAAGCUCAAGGCAAUCUUGGCAACAAUAGACCUGUAAUGCAUCAUAAUGGCAAUGGCAGCAGAAUUGCAGAUUUCAACCGCUUGCAGCCACCUAAGUUUGGAGGAUCUGAUAACCCUAUUGAGGCAGAUGAUUGGCUGCGAGAGAUUGAAAUGAAGCUCGAAGUGGUCCAUGCAGAUGACAGAGACAAGGUUUUGCUCGCAGUACAGCAGUUAAGGGGACCAGCCCUUGCUUGGUGGUAGAGUUACCGGGAAAUAAAUGAAAACGCUAACGAGAUGGUAUGGGCUAACUUUGUCAAGAUCUUUAGAGAACAUCACAUUCCCAGCAGUGUUAUGAAGCUCAAGAGGGAUGAGUUCAGAAAGCUUCAUCAAGGUGGCAUGAAUAUGACGGAGUAUCUUCAUAAGUUCAUGGAGUUGUCUCGUUAUGCACCAGAGGAUAUCAAUGAUGAUGAAAAGAAGCAAGAAGCUUUUCUUGGUGGGCUUAACCCUGAAAUCAAGACCUUGGUUGAACUCACCACCCACAGUGACUUUAAUGCCAUGAUCAACAGGGCUAUCACCGCUGAGAGAAAUAGGAAGUCAGAACUCAGUGAGCGCAAACGACGAUUUGAAAGCAAGAAGCCCCAGCAGAUGGAGAAGUUUCAGAGGACUCAGUAUCCGACUCACUCAGGCCAGAGGAGCCAGGGUGCCUUCUCAUUUAAAAUGCACCCCGGUUCUUUCCAGAAGCCAGCCCAGUCAGCUCCUGUUAUGAAGACCCAGAAUAUCUCCCGCAUCCAACCGACUGGUGGAAGUCAAGUGACCAAUGUGAAGACCUGUUUCCACUGCCGCGAAGCCGAACAUUACAAGGCCAAUUGUCCAUAUCUCAAUCAGCCCGCCCCUUCUAUUUUCUCCAACUCUGUUCAAGGACCAAAGCAGCUGACGGGAGCCAACCGUACAGCACCAGCUAGGAGCCAACAGCAGUCCUUCAGCAAGGCAAAGGUGAACCAUGUGUAUGCUGAAGAAGCAGAGGAUGCACCAGGAGUGAUUUUCGGUGAGUUUCUGGUCCAAUCAGCUCUAGCCUCAGUGCUCUUUGAUUCUGGAGCAUCGUAUUCCUUUAUAUCCUCCCACUUUGUGGAAAAGCAUGAUAUACCUACUAUAGCCCUUAAGAGGCCGCUAAUGACACGUUCGCUUGGAGGUCAUAUACCUUGCCACUUAGGUGUCUUAGAUAUCCCUAUAAACCUAAGUGGGGUAGUAUUCCUUGCCAACCUAGUAGUCCUUGCUUCCAAAGGGAUAGAUGUCAUACUCGGUAUGGACUGGCUCACCAAGCACCGAGAAAACAUAGCCUGUGCUGAGAGAGCAGUGACAGUCACCAACCACCAAGGGUUAACAGUCACAUGCCUAAUCCAGUCUAGCCUAUCAGACUCCAUGGUGAACCACAUUCAAGCAGAAUCCCUAGAAGAUGUGCCAGUAGUUCGGGAAUUCGCAGAUGUGUUUCCAGAUGAAUUACCAGGUAUGCCUCCAGAAAGAGAUGUAGAGUUCACUAUUGACUUAGUCCCUGGAACCAAGCCUAUAGCAAAGAAUGCCUAUCGGUUAGCAGCCCCAGAGCUUGCCGAGUUGAAGAAGCAGCUUGAGGAGCUUCAACAAAAGAGAUUUAUUAGACCUACUGCUUCCGUGGGGAGCCCCAGUGCUCUUUGUGAAGAAGAAAGAUGGAAGCAUGAGACUUUGUGUGGACUACCAUGACCUGAAUGCAGCCACCAUCAAGAGCAAGUACCCUCUGCCUCGGAUUGAUGACCUGUUUGAUCAGCUGAAGGGAGCUAAGUUCUUCUCCAAGAUAGAUCUGAGGUCAGGUUAUCAUCAGCUCAGAGUGCGACAAGAGGACAUCUCUAAGACAGCCUUCAGGACCCGUUAUGGCCAGUAUGAGUUCACAGUGAUGCCUUUUGGUCUAACUAAUGCCCCUGCCUUUUUCAUGACCCUCAUGAAUAAGGUGUUUAUGGAGGAGUUAGAUCGGUUUGUCGUGGUAUUCAUAGACGACAUACUGGUCUACUCUAAGAGUGCUGAGGAGUAUGGACAACAUCUCAGAGUUGUGCUGGGAAAGCUUAGAAAACACCAGUUGUAUGCCAAGUUUAGUAAGUGUGAAUUCUGGUUGCAGAGAGUCAGUUUUCUGGGUCAUAUCUUAACAGCUGAAAAAAAAAAUUAGCUGAACCCUACUAAAAAUAGAAAAAAACUUAGUAAUUAUAGAAAAUUAACUAAUAACCAACCUAUUGCUUCGUAUUGUCGAGAUCCUAACUAAGAAACAGUCACUAUGUGAAUAAAUACAUCUAUAAAAAAUGAGUAGAUCUAUCAUAUAGUUGUAGCAACUGCAUUUUUUUCUCUACAAAAGAAACCAGAUUUUAGGCUGUGAAGCAAAACUAAAGGGAUGUGGAUAAAAGGAGGGAUGAUAGAUAGAAGGAAGAAGAAUAAGAAAGAUAUAGGAUUCCAAUGUGUAUGGUCUAUGAAUUACAUCAUAAAAAAAAAGCAAUGUGAUAAAGCAUCAAUAUAAUAAAAUAAUAAAAAAAAGAGAGAAUUCGAAAUCGUAACUUUCGAAACAACAAAUAAAAAUUUAAAGAAAUAAAAAAGAGCAGCCCGCGUUAAUAAAACUGAGAAAAUUGACUCGGAAAGAAAUUUUUUGUUUUUGGAAGCUCCAUUGCAGGAUUCAAACCUAACCAUUAAAGGAGAAGCUGUGGGAACGACAAAACCUAUGACGGCAUCGGAUUUUAUUGAAAAGAAUCCUAACACUUCAUUGGGUGGGAUGGCGGAACAAACCAAAAAAAUUGCUUUAUUUGAUAAAGUUCUAAAUUAACAAAUAAGACAGGAAAGAGUAAAUAUUCGCCCGCGAAAUCCUUAUUGGAUUAGAAUACUUUACCACGAUUCAAUAAGAAUAAAAAUAAGGAGAUUCAAAAAAAAAA
rnacentral:lncRNA from 1 species